UGAGAAACUUGUAUUUCCAAAGAAGUGAGUGGGAGCACUAUAGAAUUUCUGAUAAGUAUAUGUGGUUGACAUAUUGUUCAUCAGAAAUAAUAUAGAAUUUCUGGAAAGCAUAAAGGGUUGUUUGAAAGGAGUUUUUCAAAGGAAGACCUGGAUUAAGCUACUUGAACAUUGAGCAUCAAGAUCUAUAGAGAUAGAUUAAGACGCUUCAUAUAACUUUCAAUGAAAUGCAUGCCUUGACAAGUUUUUGAAGGAGUUCAAAAUAGAUCAGCAAAGAAGGAGUUCUUGGCUGUGUUGUAAGCUGUGAAUUUGAGUAAGACUCAAAGCCUGACCACGAUAGAAGAAAGAGAAAGGACGAAGGUGGUCCCCUAUGCCUUAGCCGUAGGCUCUAUGGUAUGCUAUGUUGUGUACCGCACCUCAUGUGUGCCUUGUCAUGAAUCUGUCAAGGGGUACAGAAGUGAUCCAGGAAUGGAUUACUGGACAACGGUCAAAAGUUAUCCUUAGUAACUAGUGGACAAGGAAUUUUCUCGAUUAUGGAGGUGAUAAAAGAGUUCGUCGUAAAGGGUUACGCCGAUGCAACCAUUAACACUAAUCAAGAUGACUCUGAGUAGUAAACCGGAUUCGUAUAGUGGAGCAGUCAUUUGGAAUAGUUCCAAAUGGCGCGUGGUAGCAACAUCUAUAGGAUGACAUAGAGAUUUGUAAAGCACACACAGAUCUGAAACGUUCAGACCUGUUGACUAAAAACCUCUCUCACAAGCAAGACAUGAUCGAACCCAGAACUGUAUGGGUGUUAGAUUCAUUGGAAUCACAUAGUGAUGUGAACUAGAUUAUUGACUCUAGUGCAAGUGGGAGACCGUUGGAAAUAUGCCCUAGAGGCAAUAAUAAAUUGGUUAUUAUUAUAUUUCCUUGUUCAUGAUAAUCGUUUAUUAUCCAUGCUAGAAUUGUAUUGAUUGGAAACUCAAAUACAUGUGUGGAUACAUAGACAACACAUUGACCCUAGUGAGGCUCUAGUUGACUAGCUUAUUGAUCGAAGUUGGUCAAGGUUUCCUGGCCAUAGAAAAGUGUUGUCACUUGAUGACGGGAUCACAUCAUUAGGAGAAUGGUGUGAUGGACAAGACCCAAACUAUAAACGCAACAUAUGAUCGUGUCACUUUAUUGCUACUGUUUUCUACAUGUCAAUGUAUCUAUUCCUAUGACCAUGAGAUCAUGCAACUCCCGGACACUCGAGGAAUACCUUGUGUUUAUCAAACGUCGCAACGUAACUGGGUGACUAUAAAGGUGCUUGAUACGUCUCCAAUGUAUUUAUAAUUUUUGAUUGUUCCAUGCUAUUAUAUUAUCAAUUUGGGAUGUUUUAUAUGCAUUUAUAUGCUAUUUAUAUCAUUUUUGGGACUAACCUAUUAACUCAGUGCCCAGUGCCAGUUUCUGUUUUUUCCGUGUUUUUGACCUUUUUCAGAUAAGAAUAUUAAACGGAGUCCAAACAGAAUAAAACCUUCGGGAUGAUUUUUUCCAUAACAGAAGGGAUCCAGAAGACUUGAGAACCAAGGCAGAGGGCCACGGAGGAGGCCACGAGCCCCCUAGGCGCGCCCCACGAGGGGCGCACCUAGCAGGUUCGUGGGCCCCCCGUGUCUCCUUUGCCCUACCUCUUUCGCCUAUAAAUUCCCUAAAAUCCCCAAACCAACAGAGAGAGCCACGAAAAUACUUUUCCGCCGCCGCAAGCUUCUGUUUCCGCGAGAUCCCAUCUGGGACCGUUCUGGUGCCCUGCCGGAGGGGGAUUCGGACAUAGAGGGCUUCUUCAUUAACACCAUUGCCUCUCCGAUGAUGCGUGAGUAGUUCACCACAGACCUUCGGGUCCAUGGCUAUUAGCUAGAUGGCUUCUUCUCUCUCUUGGAUCUUCAAUACAAAGUUCUCCAUUAUCUUCAUGGAGAUCUAUCCGAUGUAACUCUCUUUUGCGGUGUGUUUGUCGAGAUCCGAUGAAUUGUGGAUUUAUUAUCAGAUUAUCUAUGAAUAUUAUUUGAGUCUCCUUUGAUUUCUUAUAUGCAUGAUUUCGUAUCCUUGUAAUUCUCUUUGAGUUAUGGGUUUCGUUUGGCCAACUUGAUCUAUAAUUCUUGCAAUGGGAAAGUGCCUAGUUUUGGGUUCAUACCGUGCGGUGUCCUUACCUAGUGACAGAAGGGGUAGCGAGGCACGCAUCGUGUUUUUGCCAUCAAGGGUAAAAAGAUGGGGUUUAUAUCAUAUUGCAUGAACUUAUCCCUCUACAUCAUGUCAUCUUGCUUAAGGCAUUACUCUGUUUGUUAUGAACUUAAUACACUAGAUGCAUGCUGGAUAGCGGUCGAUGUGUGGAGUGAUAGUAGUAGAUGCAGAAAGUAUCGGUCUACUUGUCUCGGACGUGAUGCCUAUAUCUAUGAUCAUUGCCUUAGAUAUCGUCAUGACUUUGCGCGAUUCUAUCAAUUGCUCGACAGUAAUUCGUCAACCGUAAUACUUGCUAUCAUGAGAGAAGCCUCUAGUGAACACUAUGGCCCCUGGGUCUAUUUUACACAUUAUAUAUUCAGAUCUACAUACAAAAAUACAAAAAAUACCUUGCUACACUUUUAUUUAUUUAUUUAUAUUUACCUAUUAUCACUAUCAGAUCUCACCUUGCAAGUAAUCGUAAAGGGGUUGACAACCCCUUUAUCGCGUUGGGUGCUAGUUUGUUUGUUCUUGCGCAGGUGCCUUGGUGCCUCAUCUUGUUACUCCUACUGAAUUGAUACCUUGGUUCUCAAACUGAGGGAAAUACUUAUCUCUACUUUGCUGCAUCAGCCUUUCCUCUUCAAGGGAAAAACUAACGCAAGCUCAAGAUGUAGCAAGAAGAAUUUCUAGCGCCGUUGUCGGGUAGUAUUCAAGUGAAGCAUAUCUACCAAGUACCUAUCGCAAACUCAUCUCUUGCAUUUAAAUUAUUUGCCAUUUGCCUCUCGUUUUCCUCUCCCCCACUUCUAAAACAAAAUUUACAAAAAUAUUUUCCUUUCUUUAAUUGCCUUUUUCGUUCGCCCUUUGUUUUGCUUGCUUUCUGUUUUCUUGUAUAAUUGUCUGCUUGCUAAGUCACCAUGUAUGAAAACACUAAAUUGUGUGACUUCUCUAAUACUAAUAACAAUGAUUUUAUUAGUACUCCAAUUGAUCCCGCCACUAGUGCGGAUUCAUAUGAAAUUAACUGCCUUGUUGAAUCUUGUUAUGAAAGAGCAAUUUUCCGGCCUUCCUAGUGAAGAUGCCGCAUCCCAUCUUAAUACCUUUAUUAAGUUAUGCGAUAUGCAAAAGAAGAAAGAUGUGGAUAAUGAUAUGAUUAAAUUGAAGCUAUUUCCAUUCUCAUUACGAGAUUGAGCACAAACUUGGUUUUCAUCUUUACCCGAAAAUAUUAUUGAUUCAUGGAACAAGUGUAAAGAUGCCUUUAUUUCCAAGUAUUUUCCACCUGCUAAGAUUAUCUCUCUCCAUAAUGAUAUCAUGAAUUUUAAGCAACUAUAUCAUGAACAUGUUGCACAAUCUUGCGAGAGAAUGAAAUUGAUGAUUAGAAAUUGUCCCGCUCAUGACCUAAGUCUUUGGAUGAUUAUACAAAUUUUCCAUGCUGGUUUGAAUUUUUCUUCUAGAAAUAUCUUGGAUUCCGCCUCUGGUGAAAAUUUUAUGGAAAUCACACUAGGAGAAGCUACAAAACUCCUAGAUAUUAUCAUGAGAAAUUAUUCUCAAUGGCACACUGAAAGGUCACCUACUAGUAAAAAAGUGCAUGCUAUAGAAGAAAUUAACUCUUUGAGUGCUAAGAUGGAUGAGUUAAUGAAGUUGUUUGCUAGUAAAAGUGCUCCUCUAGAUCCAAAUGGUAUGCCUUUAUCUUCCUUGAUUGAGAAUACCAAUGAAAAUUUGGAUGUUAAUUUUGUUGGUAGGAAUAAUUUUGGUAACAACAAUGCUUAUAGAGGUAACUUUAAUCCUAGGCCUUUUCCUAGUAAUCCCUCUAAUAUUUUUGGCAAUUCCUACAACAAUUCUCAUGGAAAUUAUAAUAAAAUACCCUCUGAUCUUGAGAGUAAUAUUAAAGAGUUUAUUAAUUCGCAAAAGAUUUUCAAUGCUUCCACAGAAGAAAAACUUCUUAAAAUUGAUGACUUGGCUAGGAGUGUUGAUAGAAUGUCUCUUGAUAUUGAUGCUUUGAAAUUGAGAUGUGUUCCUCCCAAUAUUAAUAUGGAUGAAACUUCGAAAGCUAUAUGUGUUUCUAUGAAUGAAAGUAAAGAAAGAACCACCCAAAUUCGUGCUAGACAUGAAUGGCUUAAAAAGGCGUGUUCUCGUGAUGAGAAUCACGAAGAUCUUAAAGUGCUUGGUGUGACUCCUAUUGAAUCCUUGUUUUCUAAUGUCAAUCUUAAUUAUGAUGGGGCUCGAUUUGAAUCCACUUUGGUUGAGAAACGCCACAAUGAUUCGGUGUCUAUUUAUCUUGAUGCUAAAAAUACUAAAAGUGGAGUAGAGGAUAUCAAAACUUUGAAUAGUGAUGAAAUUACUACUUUGGAUUUCAAGGAAUUUAAUUAUGAUAGUUGCUCUUUGAUUGAAUGUUUUUCCUUGAUGCAAUCCAUGCUAAACUCUCCACAUGCUUAUAGCCAAAAUAAGGCUUUUACUAAACAUAUCGUUGAUGCUAUGAUGAAAUCUCUUGAAAACAAACUUCAGUUGGAAAUAUCUAUUCCUAAAAAAUUCAUGAUGAGUGGGAACCUACUAUAAAAAUUAAUAUUAAAAAUUAUGAAUGCCAUGCUUUGUGUGAUUUGGGUGCUAGUGUUUCCACAAUUCCAAAAUCUUUAUGUGAUGUUGUAGGUUUCAAUGAGAUUGAUGAGUGCUCUCUUAAUUUGCAUCUUGCAGAUUCUACUAUUAAGAAACCUAUAGGAAGGAUCAAUGAUGUUCUCAUUAUUGCAAAUAGGAACUAUGUGCCCGUAGAUUUCAUUGUGCUUGAUAUUGAUUGCAAUCUGACAGGUCCCAUUAUUCUUGGUAGACCUUUCCUUCAGACUAUUGGUGCUGUUAUUGAUAUGAAGGAAGGGAAUAUUAAAUUUCAAUUUACAUUAAACAAGGGCAUGGAAAAAUUUCCUAGAAAGAAAAUAAAAUUGACUUAUAAUCCAUUAUGAAAGCUACCUAUGGUUUGAGCACUAAAGAUGACAACACUUGAAUCUAUUGCCUUACGCCUAGCUAAGGGCGUUAAACAAUAGCGCUUGUUGGGAGGAAACCCAAUGAAUAAAUUUAUUUUUGCUUUUUACUUUCUGUUUUGUUGAUUCCACACCAUCAUGAUUCUGUUAUGAUUGUGUUUUUUGUGUUUUAAUUAAUGUUUGUGAUAAGUAGAACCUUUAUGAUUAGUUUUGGUGAUAGUUGUUUAAUCAUGCUGAAAAAGACAGAAACUUUGUGCUCACAAAAUUAUUUUUAAUUCCUAUCCAGAAAGAGAUUUUGAGUUGAUUCUUUUUUAUGAUAAUUGAUAUGCAAAUGGCCCUAAUUGUAAUGAUUUGUUCAGAAUUUGUGGGAUAGCACAUGUAUACGAAAUAUACAUAUUUUUACAGACUGUUCUGUUUUUGAAAAAUUCUGUUUUUGUUGUGUUGAUUGCUUAUUUUGAUGAAAUUACGGUUAGUAUCGGGGGUAUGAGCCAUGGAGAAGUGAGAAUACAGUAAUAUAACAUCAAUCUAAAUGGAAAUUAAGUUUACUACAGUACCUAAAAAGUUGGUGGUUUGUUUUCUUAUGCUAAUGAUAUCACGAGUUUCUAUUUAAGUUUUGUGUUGUGAAGUUUUCAAGUUUUGGGUGAUGUUCUUAUGGACAAUGGAAUAAAGAGUGGCAAGAGACUAAGCUUGGGGAUGCCCAAGUCAUCCGAAGCCAAAUUCAAGGACACCAAAAAGCCUAAGCUUGGGGAUGCCCCGGGAAGGCAUCCCCCCUUUCGUCUUCAAUCCAUCGGUAACGUUACUUGGAGCUGUAUUUUUAUUUACCACAUGAUAUGUGUUUUGCUUGGAGCUUCGUGUAUUAUAGGAGUCUUUGCUUUUUUUUAUCACGAUCAUCCUUGUUGCACACCUUUUGAGAGGGACAUGCACUCAGCGUGAAUUUGUUAGAAUACUCAAUGAGCUUCACUUAUAUCUUUUGAGUUAGGCAAUUUAGCCCGCAUGUGCUUCACUUAUAUCUUUUUAGCUAAAUAAUUUUGCUCCCAUGAGCUUCACUUAUAUCUUUUGAGCUAGAUAAUUUUGCUCUAGUGCUUCACUUAAAUCUUUGUAGAGCACGGCGGUGUCAUAUUUUGUAGAAAUAAAAACUAUCGAUCUUCACUUAUAUCAUUUUGAGAGCGCUCUCUCUAAGUAACUUGGUAAUUGGCAUGCGUUAUGAAAUUAGUCCUAAAUAUGAUAGGCAUCCAAAGAGGAUAUAAUAAAAACUUUCAUAUUCAAGUGCAUUGAUUAGUAAGAGAGGUUUGAUUCCUCAAAAUUAGUUUUGAGAUAUGGAUAUGGUAAUAUUAGAGUUAUGUUAGUAGGGUGUUGUGAAUCUAGAAAUACUUGUGUUAAGGUUAGUGAUUCCCGUAGCAUGCACGUAUGGUGAACUGCUAUGUUAUGAAGUCGGAGCAUAGCUGAUUUAUUGAUUGUCAUCCUUUGUGUGGCGGUCAGGAUCGCGCGAUGGUUAACUCCUACCAACCCUUCCCCUAGGAGUAUGCGUUUAGCACUUUGUUUCGAUUACUAAUAAAACUUUCGCAAUAAGUAUAUGAGUUCUUCAUGACUAAUGUGAGUCCAUGGUAUAGAUGCACUUUCACCUUCCACCAUUGCUAGCCUCUCUAGUGCCGCGCAACUUUCGCCGGUGUACAAAACCACCAUAUACCUUCCUCAAAACAGCCACCAUACCUACCUAUUCUGGCAUUUUCAUAGCCAUUCCGAGAUAUAUUGCCAUGCAACUUCCACCAUUCCGUCUCAUGACAUGUGCCAUCACUUACAUAUUGCCAUUGCAUGAUCGUAAGAUAGCUAGCGAGAUGUUCCAACGUCAUACGCUAAGCUAGAUCGUUGCACAUCCUGGUACACUGCCGGAGGCAUUUCAUAUAGAGUCAUUAUUGUUCUAAGUAUCGAGUUGUAAGUAAAUAAAGUGUGAUGAUCAUCAUUAUUAGAGCAUUGUCCCAUGUGAGGAAAUAAAAAUAGAGGCCAGCUAAGCCCAAAUAAAAAAAAGAGGCCAAAGAUGCCCACCAAAAAAAGAAAAAAAGAAAUGAAAAAAGGAGGCCAAAGAGCCCAAACAAAAAAAUGAGAGAAAAAGAGAGAAGGGACAAUGCUACUAUCUUUUUUCACACUUGUGCUUCAAAAUCGCACCAUGUUCUUCAUGAUAGAGAGUCUCUUGUUUUGUCACUUUUAUUAUAUAACUUGGCUUGUAUAUUCCAAUGAUGGGCUUCCUCAAAAUUGCCCUAGGUCUUCGUGAGCAAGCAAGUUGGGUGCACACCCACAAGUUUUCUUUUUGAGCUUUCAUAUACUUAUAGCGCUAGUGCAUCCGUUGCAUGGCAAUCCCUACUCAUUCACAUUGAUAUCUAUUGAUGGGCAUCUCCAUAGCCCGUUGAUACGCCGAGUCGAUGUGACCAUCUCCUCCUUUUUGCCUCACCACCUCCACCACACUCUAUUCCACCUAUAGUGCUAUAUCCAUGGCUCACGCUCAUGGAUUGCACGAGAGUUGAAAAAGAUUGAGAAAGUAAGAGUGCGAAAACAAUUACUUGGCCAAUACCGGAGUUGUGCAUGAUUUAAAUUCGUUGUGUGAGGAUGAUGGAGCAUAGCCAGACUAUAUGAUUUUGUAGGGAUAACUUUCUUUGGCCUUGUUAUUUCAAAAGUUCAUGAUUACAUUGCUAGUAUGCUUGAAGUAUUAUUGUUUUCAUGUCAAUAUUAAACUAUAGUUUUGAAUCUUAUGGAUCUGACCAUUCAUGACACAAUAAAGAAGUUACAAAGAACAAAUAUGUUAGGUAGCAUUCCACAUCAAAAAUUCGGUCUUUAUGACUUCCCUACUCGAGGACAAGCAGGAGUUAAGCUUGGGGAUACUUGAUACGUCUCCUACAUAUCUUUAAUUUUUGAUUGUUCCAUGCUAUUAUAUUAUCAAGUUGGGAUGUUUUAUAUGCAUUUAUAUGCUAUUUUAUAUCGUUUUUGGGACUAACCUAUUAACUCAGUGCAUAGUGUCAGUUUCUGUUUUUUCCGUGUUUUUGACCUUUGCUACCUCUUGAGCUUGCGUUGGUUUUUCCCUUGAAGAGGAAAGGGUGAUGCAGCACAGUAGCAGUAAGUAUUUCCCUCAGUUUGAGUACCAAGGUAUCAAUCCAGUAGGAGUAUCAAGCCAAGUCUCCAAAGUACAUGUGCAAAAACAGCAAACUUGCACCCAACGCUACAAAGGGGUUGUCAAUCCCUUCACGAUUGAUUGCAAGGUGAGAUCUGAAGGUGGAAACUGCAACAAAUUAAAAGUGUAGGGCUGAAAAUAUGAUGUGAAGUAGACCCCGGGGCCAUAGAGUUCACUAGAGGCUUCUCUCAUGGUAGCAAAUAUUACGGUGGGUGAACGAAUUACUAUCGAGCAAUUGAUAGAACCACGCAAAGUCAUGACGAUAUCUAAGGCAAUGAUCAUGCAUAUAGGCAUCAUGUCCGAGACAAGUAGACCAAUACUUUCUGCAUCUACUACUAUCACUCCACACAUCGACCGCUAUCCGGCAUGCAUCUAGUGUAUUGAGUUCAUAACAAACAGAGUAAUGAUGUCUACUAUGCAACCUUCUUCUUAUAGACGUUGUUGGGCCUCGAAGUGCAGAGGUUUGUAGGACAGUAGCAAUUUUCCCUCAAGUGGGUGACCUAAGGUUUAUCAAUCCGUGGGAGGCGUAGGAUGAAGAUGGUCUCUCUCAAGCAACCCUGCAACCAAAUAACAAAGAGUCUCUUGUGUCCCCAACACACCCAAUACAAUGGUAAGUUGUAUAGGUGCACUAGUUCGGCAAAGAGAUGGUGAAACAAGUGCAAUAUGGAUGGUAGAUAUAGGUUUUUGUAAUCUGAAAUUACAAAAACAGCAAGGUAACUAGUAACAAAAGUGAGCACGAACGGUAUUGCCAUGCAUGGAAACAAGGACUAGCUAGAGUUCAUGCUUUCACUAGUGAAGUUCUCUCAACAAUGAUAACAUAAUUGGAUCAUAUAACUAUCCCUCAACAUGCAACAAAGAGUCACUCCAAAGUCACUAAUAGAGGAGAACAAACGAAGAGAUUAUUGUCGGGUACGAAACCACCACAAAGUUAUUCUUUCGGAUAGAUCUAUUCAAGAGUUCGUACUAGAAUAACACCUUAAGAUCAUAUCAACCAAGAUCCUAAUGUCACCUAGAUACUCCAUUGUCACCUCAAGUAUCCGUGGGCAUGAUUAUACGAUAUGCAUCACACAAUCUCAGAAUCAUCUAUUCAACCAACACAUAGGACUUCAAAGAGUGCCCCGAAGUUUCUACCGGAGAGUCAAAACGUGUGCCAACCCCUAUGCAUAGGUUCCCAAUGUCACGAACCCGCAAGUUGAUCACUGAUACGUCUCAAACGUAUCUAUAAUUUUUGAUGGUUUCAUGUUGUUAUCUUGUCAACUUUGGAUGUUUUAUAUUCCUUCUAUAUAUUUUUUGGGACUAACUUAUUAAUUCAAUGCCAAGUGCCAGUUCCUGGUUUUCUGUGUUUUUGACUCUUUUCAGAUCUGAUUUUGGAACAAAGUCCAAACGGAAUAAAAUCCCCGAAAUAAUUUUUUCCAGAACAGAAGCAGAUCGGGGGACUUGAGGGCCUAGGCAGAAGAGCCACAGGGGGCCCACAAGCCCUGUAGCCGCCACCAGGGGGGCCCGGCGGCUACCAGGCUUGUGGCCCUUCUGGAGCUCCCCUGCCCUAGCUCUUUCGCCUAUAUAUUCCCUAAAAUACUAGAAAAAAUCAGGGCAUCCACGAAAACACUUUGCCGCCGCCGCAAGCUUCCGUUUCCGCGGAUCUCAUCUGGAGACCCUUCCUGGUGCCCUGCCGGAGGGGACUUUGGAGUUGGAGGGCUUCUACAUCAACAUCAUCGCCUCUCCAAUGACUCGUGAGUAGUCCACUUCAGACCUACGGGUCCGUAGUUAGUAGUUAGAUGGCUUGUUCUCUCUCUUGGAUCUUCAAUACAAAGUUCUCCAUGAUCUUCAUGGAGAUCUAUCCGAUGUAAUCCUCUUUGGCGGUGUGUUUGUCGAUAUCGGAUGAAUUGUGGAUUUGUGAUCAGAUUAUCUAUGAAUUAUAUUUGAGUCUUUCCUGAUUUCUUAUAUGCAUGAUUUGAUAUCCUUGUAAGUCUCUCCGAGUCUUGGGUUUUGUUUGGCCAACUAGAUCUAUGAUUCUUGCAAUGGGAGAAGUGCUUGAUUUUCGGUUCAUACCAUGCGGUGACCUUUCCCAGUGAUAGAAGGGGCAGCAAGGCACGCAUCAUGUUGUUGCCAUCAAGGGUAACAAGAUGGGCUUUUAUCAUAGAUUUGAGAUUGUCCAUCUACAUCAUGUCAUCUUGCUUAAGGCGUUACUCUGUUCUUAUUAACAUAAUACACUAGAUGCAUGCUGGAUAGCGGUCGACGUGUGGAGUAAUAGUAGUAGAUGCAGAAAGUAUCGGUCUACUUGUCUCGGACAUGAUGCCUAUAUGUAUGAUCAUUGUCUUAGAUAUUGUCAUGACUUUGCGUGAUUCUAUCAAUUGCUCGACAGUAAUUCGUUCACCCACCGUAAUACUUUCCAUCAUGAGAGAAGCCUCUAGUGAACACUAUGGCCCCCAAGUCUAUUUUACACAUUAUAUAUUCAGAUCUACAUACAAAAAUACCAAAAAUUCCUUGCUGCACUUUUAUUUAUUAAUUUAUAUUUACCUAUUAUCACUAUUAGAUCUCACCUUGCAAGUAAUCGUAAAGGGAUUGACAACCCCUUUAUCGCGUUGGGUGCAAGUUUGUUUGUUCUUGCGCAGGUGCCUUGGUGCCUCAUUUUGAUACUCCUACUGGAUUGAUACCUUGGUUCUCAAACUGAGGGAAAUACUUAUCUCUACUUUGCUGCAUCACCCUUUCCUCUUCAAGAGAAAAACCAAUGCAAGCUCAAGAAGUAGCAGUGCUCUACAGGUAUCUCCGAAGGUGUCUGUUGGGUUGGCAUGAAUCGAGACUGGGAUUUGUCACUACGUAUGACAGAGAGGUAUCUCGAGGCCCACUCGGUAAUACAACAUCACAAUAAGCCUUGCAAGCAAUAUGACUAAGGAGUUAGCCAUGAGAUCUUGUAUUACGAAAUGAGUAAAGAGACUUGCCAAUAACGAGAUUGAACUAGGUAUAGAGAUACCGACGAUCGAAUCUCGGGCAAGUAACAUACCGAAGGACAAAGGGAGCAGCAUACGGGAUUAACUGAAUCCUUGACAUAGAGGUUCAACCGAUAAAGAUCUUCAUAGAAUAUGUAGGAGUUAAUAUGGGUAUCCAGGUCCCGCUAUUGGUUAUUGACCAUAGAGGUGUCUCGGUCAUGUCUGCAUAGUUCUCGAACCCGUAAGGUGUGCACACUUAAGGUUCGGUGACGUUUCGGUAUAGUUGAGUUAUAGGUGUUGGUAACCAAAAGUUGUUCGGAGUCCCGGAUCAGAUCUCGGAUUUCACGAGGAGCUCCGAAAUGGUCCGGAGGUAAAGAUUGAUAUUUAGGAAGUCCUGUUUUGGUCACCGGAAAAGUUUCGGUCUCAUCGGUAGUGUACCGGGAGUGUCGGGAGGGUACCGAGGACCAUCGGGAGGGGUGUCACGCCCCGAGGGACCUUAUGGGAUGUGGGAGGAUACAUACCAGACCCUAGUGGGCUGAAAUAAGCUCCCACUAAGGCCCAUGAGGUUCAAGAGGCAAAAACCCAAAGGUGGAAAAGGUGGAAAGGGUUUCCAAGUGGAAAUGAGGAAUAUUACUCCUAGUAGGAUUGGAGUAGGACUCCUCCACCUCCAAUUUCGGCCAAACCUUGAGGGUUUGAGGCUGCCUCCCUCCCUCCUAUAUAUACUAGAGGUAUUGAGGGUUUUUGAGACACAAAAUUUCAGCCAUGUGCUACCCUCUCCUCUAGUUUGUAGUUCUUCCUCUAGAUCGGAUUUCUGCGGUGCUUAGGUGAAGCCCUGCAGGCAUAGAUCACCACCAUCACCGGCGCGCCGUCACACUGCCGGAGAACUCAUCUACCUGUCCGCCCCUCUUGCUGGAUCAGGAAGGCGGGGAUCAUCAUCGAGCUGUACGUGUGCUGAACGCGGAGGUGCCGUCCGUUUGGCACUUGAUCAGGAUGCAUCGUGAUGGGAUCGCGGGACGGAUCGUGAUCAGAUCGCGGGAUGGGAUGCGAUUUGGAUCGCGGAGAUGUUCCACUACAUCAACCGUGUUAUCUAUGCUACCGCUUAGCGAUCUACAAGGGUAUGUAGAUUCACUCUCCCCUCUCGUAGAUGAUCAUCACCAUGGAUAGGUAUUGCGUGUGCUUAGGAAAAUUUUUGUUUCCCAUGCGACGUUCCCCAACAACGAUAUCAUGGCCGAGGCUAAUACCUCGGCCACCAGGGACCAGGAGGAUGAAUCCCUCCUGGCAAGAUAGGAAGGAUGGUCUGGACCUUAUAGAUAUCCUCCGAAGGCAGCUCCUGAGGCCCCGUCAUCAUCGACGCUGUCAGAAGCAGUUUCUCUGCAAAUGAAUACUACUACGCCGCACCUGGAGCCGUCCACAAUGGACCAAUUCCGAACUAGCUGACGACCAUGAGGGAGGAGGGUCUCAAUGACAUUUCCAUUCCUGAAGAGUGUCGCACACUCAUCUGAGUGCGGUAUUGAAACACAUUUAGACCGUUGACAAUGGUCUGUAAGAAGCUUUUCACGUGUUGUUGGCAGGCAUCAAGGUAAUCCGCACACUCUUUUCCAUUACAAAGUAAUUCUAAUUUUCGUAUUAUCUAUAAGCAAUCUUAUGCUUAGUAUCCCCCGAGCCCUGUGUGAGUUAGAAAAACCUAAUGCGAGGGUAAGAAUAGUUCGGAAAAACGUUGCAUGUAGUUCCCAAGACUUUGGUAGGAUGAUAAAAACACCCUGGCAGAGGAUUUCGGAAAAAUCUAAGAACUGUGAAAGUCUAGAAAUUCUUAUUUGUAGGCCUCCACUUUGUCCACAGCCCCCAACUCCCUGGAGCUGGCGGGAAUGAAUCGAAAACUGAAGGUUUCCGAAGAAGAGCUGGACCGCAUCAACAAGCAUUUUGAGGACGCACAAGGUAAGUGUUCACACCUUGCUUCUCUCAUAAAAGUGAGGUGUUUUAAUAUUUUUGUCUCUAAGUGUGAUUUAUUUGCUUGACCAACAUAGUUGUUGAUGAUAAUGUCGAGUUGCUCAAAGCCAAACAGGACAAGGCCAAGCAUGAGGUUGCCGAACAAAGAGGAGUGGCCGAUCAUGCCAAGUGUGCUAGUGAUAGGUCCGAGGCCCGGGACAGUGAGGUCCAACAAGAGCUGAAGGAAGCCGUCACAAAAAGUGAGGCACUUGAGCUGAAGAAUAAAGAAAAAUCUUCCGAGGUGACCUUAGUAACUGUCGCACUCCAAGAAGCAUGGAAGGAGGCACAUGAUCAUCGAAAGGAGAUCCAUCAGAUCAAGCAAAUUGCCGAUGGUAAGAGAUAUUUACUACAAUGUAUUUUUGACGGACAAAGAUUUGCAUUGCUUACUCGAGUGUGGUGUCCUCCGGGCGCGAUUGCGGAUCUCUCGAAGAGUGGGACAGAAGUUGUGAAGCACUAUGCAUCCGAGGAGGGUGAGGUCUAGCAAAACCUUUUCUGGGUGUAAUUUCAAGCCCCGAGCAACCCCUGCUAGUCUCCGGUUAGUUGAAACAACUGAUGGAGCUGCACAAGAUGACAGAGCCAGCCAUGAAGGAUCUUUAGAUGAGGCUUUGGCCGACAGAGCAGCUACUUAGCAUCUAUUUUUGCCUAGUGCAAAAGCUAAUUGCCAUUGUGCCCCAGAUUCAUACCAUGAAGCGCUUUGUCUACAUCGAGGAAUCUCGGAUGGCCUUGCAAGGACGAAGAUGCAUUGGCCAAAGAUGGAUCCCUUCAAGAUGUCCACCACACCUCCGCCGCCUGGAAAGGAUCAUAGAUGCCCAAAGCUGUAAUUAUCCACUACUAUGGAAGGUGCUCGGACUGUAGAGGUGCAAUGCUCCAAAACUUAAUCUUUGAAUGAAAAUCUAAUUUUGUAGUAGUAGUUGUAUGAUACAAUGCCGUUUAACUUUUGCAUGGCAUCCCAUGUUUUUUAAUUAACUCCUGUGUGGUUGUUUUAAUAAUGGAAGUUCCCAGUCGUCGGCUUCAGCCCACUCACAUAUACUACCAGGGGUGUUUUCAGCCUACACAUUGUUACCCUUAGCCAAUGUCUUGGUACCCUAAGGAGUUAAUGCAGGAUAAAACGAGGCAAUCGGACUAUGUGGCUUUAAAUCUUUAACUUAACCAUAUGAGCUUGACUAUGGGUGCCAAUUGGAGCCCCUUGUAAAGCGUGAUGUUCGGCUAUGUCGUGGUGUAAGAACCCAAAAUCACUUGGUCUGAAUGAUUUCAAACCUUUCGCAUAAUGCGAUGAACCCCAGCGGUUCUUUAGUUUAAUACUUGUCUUCGGACCGCAGACCAGUUCUCGCUUAUUAUGAUAGACUAUUUUUGGGUUUCUACAUUCAGAUACUUAACCAGAUUAAAUAGAAGUACAAUCACAGUGGUUCUCCCUUUAACCUUUAAGACGAACAAGUGGAACAUAAAGGGGUAAGAACAUGAGCGGGGAAACCCAACUUUUGACCCAAGACAUAAUUCAAAACCAAGGCAUAUAACAUGAAUCCAAGACUCCUCACACAUGAAUGCUACAUAGUAUUGUAAUGGUCGGUCAUGACGGCCAAGCCCCCCAUCAAUUUAGCCAAUAUCUAAUAUGGGCAUAAAAACAGGCUUGUGUUGGUGUUCAAAAAACAGUUCAUAAAAAAGGAGGAGGUAAAAGACGUUGCAAAACUCAUGAAUCACAAAGAGCGUUCCGUAUUUCCGAUAAACUUGUAUCCGUACAAUUCGAACUCAGCAAGCGACCGUUUUCAUAUAUAUAUAUAUAUAUAUAUAUAUAUAUAUAUAUAUAUAUAUCAUAAGAAAAGUGUAUAGAGUAAAGGUUUACACAGGGUUUGGUAUAGCUCGCUUGAUGUUCCUUAAACGCCCUGCUACAUGUCUAUGACUUCACUCUUCGGGAAAUAUUCCUUGAAAGGCGAGAACUUCAAUGAAAGUUUCUUAAACAAUAGGCAAUCUUGAGAAGCCACCGAUGUAUGGGUUUGGUUGACGCAGAAUUGGUCCUUAACGGUACCUAUAUGUGUCCGAGGAGUAUAUUGACCGUAGUUCUGUUUAGCCGAUCACUAGGGCGUAUAUGAUUAAUCCCCACAGCUGCCCAUGGUAUCUUAAGCGCAAAAUUGUGCCUUCGAGGAACUUAUUUUGCUGCAGGCAAGUUGCUGCAAUGGGGAGUGCAUCCCCAUUUGGCUUGAGGAUGUGGACUAAUAGGGAACUGAGGCGGGACGUGAUACGUCUCCAACGUAUCUAUAAUUUUUGAUGGCUUCAUGCUAAUAUCUUGUCAAACUUUGGAUGUUUUGCAUGCCUUUUAUUUAUUUUUUGGGACUAACUUAUUAAUUCAGUGCCAAGUGCCAGUUCCUAUUUUUUUCCAUGUUUUUGACCCCUUUCAGAGGAGAUUUUGAAACGGAGCCCAAACGGAAGAAAAUCCCCGAAAAGAAUUUUUCUGGAAUGGAAGAAGAUCGGAGGACUUGGAAGCCAACCCAGAAGAGCCCCAGGGGCCCCACAAGCCCCCACCCCGCGGCCAGGGGGGUCGCGCCAUGCAGGCUUGUGGGCCCCCUGGAGGUCCCUUGACCUAGAUCUUGCGCCUAUAUAUUCCCAAAUAUUCCCAAAAAAAUCAGGGGAGCAUCAUAAUCACUUUUUCGCCGCCGCAAGCUUCUGUCUCCGCAAGAUCGCAUGUGGGGCACGUUCUGGUGCCCUGUUGGAGGGGGGAUUCAGACACGGAAGGCUUCUCCGUCAACACCAUGACCUCUCCGAUGAUGCGUGAGUAGUUCACCAUAUACCUACGGGUCCAUAGCUAGUAACUAGAUGGCUUCUUCUCUCUCUUGGAUCUUCAAUACAAAGUUCUCCAUGAUCUUCAUGGAGAUCUAUCCGAUGUAAUCUUCUUUUGCGGUGUGUUUGUCGAGAUCCGAUGAAUUGUGGAUUUAUGAUCAGAUUAUCUAUGAAUCUUAUUUGAGUUUCUUCUGAUCUCUCUUAUGCAUGAUUUCAUAUCCUUGUAAUUCUCUUCGAGUUGUGGGUUUUGUCUGGCCAACUAGAUCUAUGAUUCUUGCAAUGGGAGAAGUGCUUGGUUUUGGGUACAUACCGUGCGGUGACCUCACCCAGUGACAGAAGGGGUAGCGAGGCAUGUAUCGUGUUGUUGCCAUCAAGGGUAAAAAGAUGGGGUUUUCAUCAUUGGUUUGAGAUUAUCCCUCUACAUCAUGUCAUCUUGCUUAAAGCGUUACUCUGUUCGUCAUGUACUCAAUACACUAGAUGCAUGCUGGAUAGCGGUCGAUGUGUGGAGUAAUAGUAGUAUAUGCAGAAAGUAGCGGUCUACUUUUUUCGGACGUGAUGCAUAUAUGUAUGAUCAUUGCCUUAGAUAUCGUCAUGACUUUGCGCGGUUCUAUCAAUUGCUCGACAGUAAUUUGUUCACCCACCGUAAUACUUGCUAUUUUGAGAGAAGCCUCUAGUGAAAACUAUGGCCCCCAGGGUCUACUUCAGACCAUAUUUUCAGCCUGACACUUUUUACUUUGUUGCACUUUCCGCCUUGAGAUCUCACUUUGCAAACAAUCUUGAAGGGAUUGACAACCCCCUUGAAGCGUUGGGUGCAAGCUAGUUUGUGUUUGCGCAGGUACUCUGAACAUGAUGAGACCCUCCUUCUGGAUCGAUACCUUGGUUCUCAAACUGAGGGAAAUACGUACUGCUCCUGUGUUGCAUCACUCUUUCCUCUUCAAGGGAAAAACCAACGCAAGCCCAAUCUCCGUCAAUGUGUCAAUUUCUGGCGCUGUUUUUUGAGAAGUAGGAGAAGGAUUUCUGGCGCCGUUGCCGGGGAGGAAGAUCAAGUCAAGAACUCAUCCAAGCAAGUGUCGCAAACUCAUCUCUUGCAUUUACUUUGUUUGCCAGUUGCCUCUCGGUUUCCUCUCCCCCACUUCACCAAUUCACCUUUUUGUUCGCCCUUUUCGUUCGCCCUUUUUCUCGCCUGCUUUUUGUUUGUUUGUGUGCUUGCUUGCUUGCUGAAAUCACCAUGAACGAAAACAACAAACUUUGUGACUUCUCGAAUACUAAUAACAAUGAUUUUAUUAGUACUUCGAUUGCUCCCGCCACUAGUGCGGAGUCAUACGAAAUCAAUGCCGCUUUGCUGAAUCUUGUUAUGAAAGAGCAAUUCUCUGGCCUUCCUAGUGAAGAUGUCGCAUCCCAUCUUAAUACCUUCAUUGAGCUUUGCGAUAUGCAAAAGAAAAAAGAUGUGGAUAAUGACGUGAUUAAAUUGAAGAUUUUUCCUUUCUCGUUGCGAGAUCGCGCAAAAACUUGGUUUUCUUCUUUGCCCAAAAAUAGUAUCGAUUCUUGGGAUAAGUGCAAAGAUGUUUAUAUAUCCAAGUAUUUUCCAUCGGCUAAGAUCAUAUCUCUCUGUAAUGAUAUCAUGAAUUUGAAGCAACUUGAUCAUGAACAUGUUGCACAAGCUUGGGAGAGAAUGAAGUUAAUGAUUAGAAAUUGUCCCGCUCAUGGCUUGAGCCUUUGGAUGAUUAUUCAAAUCUUUUACGCUGGCUUGAAUUUCGCUUCUAGAAAUAUCUUGGACUCCGCCUCAGGUGGAACAUUCAUGGAAAUCGCGUUAGGAGAAUCCACUGAGCUCUUAGACAACAUCAUGACAAACUACUCUCGAUGGCACACUUAAAGGUCACCCACUAGUAAGAAGGUACACACUAUAUAAGAAAUUAACAAGUUGAGUGCUAAGAUGGAUGAGUUAAUGAAUUUGGUUGCUAGUAGAAGUGCUCCUUUGGAUCCUAAUGAUAUGCCUUUGUCUUCUUUGAUUGAGAGUAGCAACGCUAGCUUGGACGUUAAUUUUGUUGGUAGGAAUAACUUUGGCAACAACAAUGCUUUUAGAGGAAACUAUGCUCCUAGGCCUUUUCCUAGUAACUCCUCUAAUAAUUUCGGCAACUCCUACAACAAUACUCAUUGAAAUUACAAUAGAUCACCCUCUGAUCUAGAGAGUAAUAUCAAAGAGUUCAUCAACUCUCAAAAGAUUUUCAAUGCGUCCAUAGAGGAAAAACUACUCAAAAUUGACGAUUUGGCUAAGAGCGUUGAUAUGAUUUCUUGUGAUGUUGAUGCUUUGAAAGUUAGAUUUGCUCCUCCCAAAAUCAACAUGGAAGAAACUUUGAAAGCUAUGCGUGUUUCCAUGAUUGAGAGCCAAGAAAGAACCGCCCAAAUUCAUGCUAGACAUGACUGGCUUAAAAAGGCGUGUUCUCGUGAUGAGAAUCACGAAGAUCUUAAAGUGCUUGGUGUGACUCCCAUUGAAUCUUUGUUUUCUUGUGUCAAAUCUAAUGAUUAUGGGGCUGGAUAUGAAUCCACUUUGGUUGAAAAGUUCCCCAAUGAUUCGGAGUCCAUCUAUCUUGAUGCUAAAAGUAUUAAAAGUGGAGUAGAAGACGUUAAAACUUUGAGUACUAAUGAAAUUACUACCGUGGAUUUCAAGGAAUUCAAUUAUGAUAGUUGCUCCUUGAUUGAAUUCAUUUCUUUGAUGCAAUCCAUCUUAAACUCUCCACAUGCUUAUAGCCAAAACAAAGCCUUUACCGAUCAUAUCGUCGAAUCUAUGAUGAAAGCUCUUGAAGAGAAACUUGAAUUGGAAGUCUCUAUCCCUAGAAAGCUUCAUGAUGAGUGGGAACCUACCAUCAAAAUCAAAAUAAAAAACUAUGAGUGCAAUGCUUCGUGUGAUUUGGGUGCUAGUGUUUCUGCAAUUCCAAAGUAUUUAUGUGAUGUUCUGGGUUUUAAUGAGAUUGAAGAGUGUUCUUUUAAGUUGCACCUUGCUGAUUCUACUGUCAAGAAACCCAUGGGAAGGAUCAAUGAUGUUCUUAUUAUUGCAAAUAGGAACUAUGUACCCGUGGAUUUCAUUGUGCUUGACAUUGAUUGCAAUCCUACAUGCCCUAUUAUUCUUGGUAGACCUUUCCUAAGGACUAUUGGUGCUAUCAUCGAUAUGAAGGAAGGGAAUAUUAGAUUUCAAUUUCCUUUAAGGAAGGGUAUCGAACACUUUCCUAGAAAUAAAAUAAGAUUGCCUUAUGAAUCCAUGAUGAGGGCCACUUAUGGUUUGAGCACCAAAGACGACGAUACGUGAUUCUAUCGCUUCUAUGCCUAGCUAAGGGCGUUAAACAAUAGCGCUUGUUGGGAGGCAACCCAAUGAAUUUAUCUUUUUCUUUCUGUUUUGUUGCAUCCACACUUUCAUAAUUCUGUUGUGAUUGUGUUUUUUGUGUUUAUUUUUGUGUUUGAGACAAGCAAAACCUUUAUGACUAGUCUUGGUAAUGGUUGUUUGAUGCUGCUGGAAAAAGACAGAAACUUUUCGCUCACGAGACGAUUUUUCAUUUUUAUUCAGAAAGAGAUUUUUAGUUUAUUCUUUUUGAUGCUGAUUGAUAUUCUUUUUCCCCAGACCUUCGUAAAAUUUCAGAUUUUUUGAGGUACCAGAAGUAUACGAAGUAUACAUAUUACUACAGACUGGUCUGUUUUUGACAGAUUCUGUUUUUGUUGGGUUGGUUGCUUGUUUUGAUGAAACUAUGGUUAGUAUCGGGGGGUACUAGCAUUGGGAAAGUGAGAAUACAGUAGCCCAUCAUCAAUAUAGAUAGAAUUCAAGUUUUCUACAGUACCAAAAGAAGUGGUAGUUUGUUUUCUUGUACUAAUGUUAUCACAAGUUUCUGUUUAAGUUUUGUGUUGUGAAGUUUUCAAGUUUUGGGUGACGUUCUCAUGGACAAAGAGACAAGGAGUGGAAAGAGCUCAAGCUUGGGGAUGCCCAAGGCACCCCAAGAAAAAUUCAAGCACACCAAAAAGCCUAAGCUUUGGGAUGUCCCGGGAAGGCAUCCCCUCUUUCGUCUUCAAUCCAUCGGGAACAUUACUUGGAGCUAUAUUUUUAUUCACCACAUGAUAUGUGUUUUGCUUGGAGCGCCUUGUAUCAUAGGAGUUUUUUUCUUUUGUUGUGUCACAAUCAUCCUUGCUGCACACCUUUUUGAGAGAGAUAGACAUGCACUCAUCAUGAUUUUGCUAGAAUGCUCAUUGUGCUUCACUUAUAUCUUUUGAGCUAGAUACUUUUGCUCAUGUGCUUCACUUAUAUCUUUUGAGCUAGAUACUUUUGCUCAUGUGCUUCACUUAUAUCCUUUGAGCUAGAUACUUUUGCUCAUGUGCUUCACUUAUAUAUUUAGAGCACGGCGGUGCAUUAUUUGGUAGUUGGCUUAUGCUAUGAAAGUAGCCCCAUGUUCUAGGUACCCAAAGAGGAUGCAAAAACCACCAUCUUCAUGUGCAUUGAGUAGAAAUAGAAGUUUCCAUUCCUCUCAAUUAGUUUUGAGACAUGGAUUCGGUAAUAUUAAAAGCUAUGUUAGUAGGGUGUUCUGAAUCUAGAAAUACUUGUGUUGAAGUUAGUGAUUCCCGUAGCAUGCAUGUAUGGUGAACCGCUAUGUUAGGAAGUCGGAGCAUAAUUUAUCUAUUGAUUGCAAUCCUUUGUGUUGAGGUCGGGAUCGCGCGAUGGUUUACACCUACCAACCCUUCCCCUCUGAGUAUGCGUUUAGCACUUUGUUUCGAUUACUAAUAAAACAAUUCGCAACAAGUAUGUGAGUUCUUUAUGACUAAUGUUGAGUCCAUGGUAUAGAUGCACUUUCACCUUCCACCAUUGCUAGCCUCUCUAGUGCCGCGCAAUUCUCAUCGGUGCACAAACCCACCAAAUUCCUUCCUCAAAAUAGCCACCAUACCUACCUACUAUGGCAUUUUCAUAGCCAUUCCGAGAUAUAUUUCCAUGCAACUACCACCAUUCCGGCUCAUGACUUGUGUUGUCACUCUCAUAUUGCCAUUGCAUGAUCAUACUACGAGAGGCAUUUCCUAUGAAGUCAUCAUCAUUGUGAUCUUCGAGCUAUGAGUAAAUAAAAGUGUGAUGAUCAUCAUUAUUAGAGCAUUGUCCCUUGUGAGGAAAUAAAAAAAAGAGGCCAAAAAGCCCAAAAAAGAGAAAAAAAAGAGGCCUAAGAGCCCAAAUAAAAAAAGAGAGAAAAGGAGAGAAGGGACAAUGCUACUAUCUUUUUCCACACUUGUGCUUCAUGAUAGCACCAUGUUCUUCAUGAUUGAGAGCUUCUUGCUUUGUCACUACCAUAUUCUAGUGGGAAUCUUCACUAUAUAACUUGGCUUGUAUAUUCCAAUGAUGGGCUUCCUCAAAAUUGCCCUAGGUCUUCGUGAGCAAGCAAGUUGGAUGCACACCCACUAGUUUCCCUUUUGAGCUUUCAUAUCAUUCACAUUGAUAUCUAUUAAUGGGCAUCUCCAUAGCCUAUUGAUAUGCCGAGUAAAUGUCACCAUCUCCUCCUUUUUUUGUUUCACAACCACCACCACACUCUAUUCCACCUAUAGUGAUAUAUCCAUGGCUCGCGCUCAUGUAUUGCGUGAUAGUUAUAGAAAGUUUGAGAAAGUAAGAGUGCGAAAACAAUUACUUGGCCAAUUCCAGGGUUGUGCAUGAUUUACAUUAGUUGUGUGAGGAUGAUGGAGCAUAGCCAGAUGUUGAUGCAGCAAAAGACCUUCCAACGGGGCCAGAAACACGUGAUGAUGGGAGACUGUUCUUGAUACUCCUCAGCAACGGCACCACGAAUCCUUCUGCUACGGCUACGCCUUUAGGGACUUCCUAGGAAAAUAUGCAAAGGAUUUCCCCGUGGCCUCGGAGCCUUGCAUUGGUGUUCCCUCGAAGCGGAAAGGGUGAUGUAGCACAGCGGUGGUAAGUAUUUCCCUCAGUUUUGAGAACCAAUGUAUCGAUCCAGUGAAGGAGUAUCGCAAGUGCCUGCACAAACACAAAAGGCUUGCUCCCAACGCUAUGAUGGGGUUGUCAUUCCCUUAUAGAUUGUUUGCAAAGUGAGAACUCAAUGCAACAAAGUAACAAAGCAAAGUAAAAGCGGAGGUGUAAACGAUAGGUGUGAAUAGACCCGGGGGCUGUAGUGUUUACUAGUGGCUUCUCUCAUGAAAGCAAGUAGACGGUGGGUGAACGAAUUACUUUCGAGCAAUUGAUAGAAUCGCGGAAAGGUCACCACAUGGUAAGAACCCAAAACCAAGCACUUCUCCCAUUGCAAGAAUCAUAGAUCUAGUUGGCAAAACAAAUCCCAAGACUCGGAGAGACUUACAAGGAUAUCAAAUCAUGCAUAUAAGAAAUCAGCAAACACUCAAAUAUAUAUCAUAGAUAAUCUGAUCUCAAAUCCACAAUUCAUCGGAUCUCGACAAACGCACCGCCAAAGAGUAUUACAUCGGAUAGAUCUCCAUGAAGAUCAUGGAGAACUUUGUAUUGAAGAUCCAAGAGAAAGAAGAAGCCAUCUAGCAACUAACUACGGACCCGUAGGUCUGAAGUGAACUACUCACGAGUCAUUGGAGGGGCGAUGAUGUUGAUGAAGAAGCCCUCCAACUCCAAAGUCCCCUCCAGCAGGACACCGGGAAGGGUCUCCAGAUGAGAUCUCGCGAAAACGGAAGCUUGCGGUGGCGGAAAAGUGUUUUCGUGAACGCCCUGAUUUUUUCUAGAUUUUUAGGGAAUAUAUAGGCCAAAGACCUAGGGCAGGGGAGCGCCAGGGAGGCCACAAGCUUGGUUGCCGAGGCCUCCCCCUGGCCGCGGCAACAGGGCUUGUGGGCUCCCUGUGGGCCCACUUGCUUGGCCCUCAAGCCUCCCGAUCUUCUUCCGUUCUGGAAAAAACCAUUUUGGGGAUUUUAUUCCGUUUGAACUCCAUUCCAAAAUCAGAUCUGAAAAGAGUCAAAAACACACACAAAAACAGGAACUCGAACUUGUCACUGAGUUAAUAAGUUAGUCCCAAAAAAGAUAUAAAAGGUAAACAAAACAUCCAAAGUUGACAAGAUAACAGCGUGAAACCAUCAAAAAUUAUAGAUACAUUUGAGACGUAUCAAGCAUCCCCAAGCUUAAAUCCUGCUCGUCCUCGAGUAGGGAAGUGAUAAAGAAUGAAUUUUUGCUGCUUUCAUGCUACCUAGCAUGGAUGUCCUUUGUAACUCCUCUUAUGUGACGUGAAUGUUCAGAUCCAUUAGAUUCAAAACAAUAGUUCGCUAUUGACGUGGAAACAACAAUACUUCAAGCAAACUAGCAAAGUAAUCAUGAAAUUUCAAAAUAACAAGGCCAAAAGAAAGUUAUCCCUACAAAAUCAUAUAGUCUGGCUAUGCUCUAUCAUCAUUGCUCAACGAAUUUAAAUCAUGCGCAACCUCGGUAUUGGCCAAGUAAUUGUUUUCACACCUUUACUUUCUCAAACCUUUUCAACUGUCACGCAAUACAUGAGCGUGAGCCAUUGUUUUAGCACUAUAAGUGGUGUGGAGUGUGGUGGAGGUUGCAAGACAAACAAGGAGAAGAUGAUCAUAUUAACUAGGCAUAUCAUUGAGUUGUGGAGAUGCUCAUCAAUAGAUAUCAAUGUGAAUGAGUAGGGAUUGCCAUACAAAUGAUGCACUAGAGCUAUGAGUAUGUGAAAGCUCUUAAAGAAAACUAGUGGGUGUGCAUCCAACUUGCUUGCUCACGAAGACCUAAGGCAAUUUUGAGGAAGCCUAUCAUUGGAAUAUACAAGCCAAGUUAUAUAAUGAAAAUUUCCCACUAGCUAUAUGGUGGUGACAAAACGAGAGACUCUCAAUCAUGAAGAUCAUGGUGCUUAAUAUGCACAAGUGUGGAAAGGUGGUAGCGUUGUCCCUUCUCUCUUUUUCUCUCUUUUUUUGGAUGGGCUCUUUGGCCUUCUUUUUUAUUUAUUUUUUAUUAUUAUUAUUUUGGUGGGCAUCUUUGGCCUCUUUUAUUUCCUCACAUGGGACAAUUCUCCAUCAAUGAUGAUCAUCACAAUUACAACUCAAAACUUAGAGCAAUGAUGACUCUAUAUGGGAUGCCUUCGGUAGUGUACCGUGACAAUGAUCUAGCAUGGCAUAGAAAUAAAUGGAAACAUCACGCUAGCUAAUUAUGAUCAUGCAAUGGCAAUGUAGACGUGAUGGCACAUGUCAUGGUGGUAGUUGCAUGGCAAUAUAUCUCGGAAUGACUUUGAAAAAGCCAUAGUAGGUAGGUAUGGUGGCUGUUUUGACGGUGGCUAAUGGUGGGUUUUGUGCACCGGCGAAAGUUGCACGGCACUAAAGAAGAUAGUGAUGGUGGAAGAUGAAAGUGCAUCUAAACCAUGGACUCAACAUUAAUCAUGAAGAACUCAUAUACUUGUUGCAAAAGUUUUAUUAGUAAUCGAGACAAAGCAUUUAACGCAUACUCCUAGGGGAAGGGUUGGUAGGAAUAAACCAUCGCGCGAUCCCGACCGCCACACAAAGGAUGACAAUCAAUAGACUAAUCAUGCUCAGACUUCAUCACAUAGCGGUUCACCAUACGUGCAUGCUACGGGAAUCACUAACUUCAACACAAGUAUUUCUAGAUUCACAACACCUUACUAAUAUAACUUCAAUAUUACCAUAACCACAACUCAAAACUAGUUGAGAUGAAUCAAACUUCUCUAACUAUUCAAUUCACAUGAAGGUGGAAGUUUUCGUAUCCCUUUGGAUAACUACCCCUUUUGAGACUACUUUCAUAGCAUAGAUGAACUACCAAGCCACGCACUGCCGUGCUCUAAAAGAUAUGAGUGAAGCACAUAGAGCAAAAUCAACUAGCUCAAAAGAUAUAAGUGAAGCAUAUAUGUGAGCUGAAUUGUCUACCAAAGGAUAUAAGUGAAGCUCGACAAAAUCACGGUGAGUGCAUGUCUCUCUCUCUCUAGGUGUGCAUCAAGGAUGACUGUGACACAACAAAAAUAAAAGACUCCUACGAUACAAGACGCUCCAAGCAAAACACAUAACAUGUGGUGAAUAAAAAUAUAGCCCCAAGUAACGUUACCGAUGGAUUGAAGACGAAAGAGGGGAUGCUUUCCUGGGGCAUCCCCAAACUUAGGAUUUUACGGCAUCCUUGAAUCUCUUGGGGUGCCUUGGGCAUCCACAAGCUUGAGCUCUUGCCACUCUUUAUCUUUUUGUCCAUAAGAACUUCACCCAAAACUUGAAAACUUCACAACACGAAACUUAAACAGAAACUCGUGAUAACAUUAGUAUAAGAAAGCAAACCACCACUUCCUUAGGUACUGUAGCAAACUUGGAUUCUACUUAUGCUGAUGUUGGGUUACUGUAUUUUCAAUAUUCCAUGUCUAAUACCCCCCGAUACUAUCCAUAGUUUCAUCAAAAUAAGCAACAAACACAACAAAAACAGAAUCUAUUAAUAGCAGACCAGUCUGUAGCAAUCUGUAUACUUGGUAUACUUCUGGUACAUCAAAAAUUCAAAACAAUUACGACGGUCUGAAAAAUUUGCGUAGCAAUCAGCAGCAAAAUGAAUCAACUCAAAAGCUAUUACAGAAAAAAAAUGAAAAUUCUUUUCGUGAGCAUAAAGUUUCUGUCUUUUCGAGCAUGACCAAACGAUCAUCCCCAAGACUAAUCAUAACGGUUUUGCUUGGCACAAACGCAAAAAGAAACACAAAAAACACAAUCAUAACAGAAUUAUGAAAGUGUGGAAAACACAAAACAGAAAGAAAAUGGAUAGAUUCGUUGGGUUGCCUCCCAAAAAGCGCUAUUGUUUAACGCCCUUAGCUAGGCAUUCAAUGAUGCACUCACAAAAGACAAGAAUUGAAGCACAACGAGAGCAUCAUAAAGCAUGUGAAAAUCACAUCUAAGUCUAACAUACUUCCUAUGCAUAGGCAUUUUAUAGGAAAACAAAUUGGCAAGAUAACCAAUAGUUACCAAAUGCAAGGACAACUAUGCUAGGUAGUAUUCCACAUCAAAAAUUCAUUCUUUAUCAGUUCCCAACUCGAGGACAAGCAGGAGUUAAUAUUGGGGAUGCUUGAUACGUCUCCAAUGUAUCUAUAAUUUUUUAUGGUUUCAUGCUAAUAUCUUGUCAAACUUUGGAUGUUUUGCAUGCUUUUUAUUUAUUUUUUGGUACUAACUUAUUAAUUCAGUGCCAAGUGCCAGUUCCUGUUUUUUCCAUGUUUUUGACCCCUUUCAGAGGAGAUUUUGAAACGGAGUUCAAACGGAAGAAAAUCCCUGAAAAGAAUUUUUCUGGAAUGGAAGAAGAUCGGAGGACUUGCGAGCCAAGCAAGAAGAGCCCCAGGGGCCCCACAAGCCCCCACCCCGCGGCCAGCGGGCCUUGCCAUGCAGGUUUGUGGGCCCCCUGGAGGUCCCCUGACCUAGAACUCGCGCCUAUAUAUUCCCAAAUAUUGCCAAAAAAUCAGGGGAGCAUCAUAAUCACUUUUCCGCCGCCGCAAGCUUCUGUCUCCGCAAGAUCCCAUCUCGGGGCACCGUUCUGGUGCCUUGCCGGAGGGGGGAUUUGGACAUGGAAGGCUUCUCCAUCAACACCAUGACCUCUCCGGUGAUGCGUGAGUAGUUCACCAUAGACCUACGGGUCCAUAGCUAGUAACUAGAUGGCUUCUUCUCUCUCUUGGAUCUUCAAUACAAAGUUCUCCAUGAUCUUCGUGGAGAUCUAUCCGAUGUAAUCUUCUUCAGUAGUGUGUUUGUCGAGAUCUGAUGAGUUGUGGAUUUAUGAUCAGAUUAUCUAUGAAUCUUAUUUGAGUUUCUUCUGAUCUCUCUUAUGCAUGAUUUCAUAUCCUUGUAAUUCUCUUCGAGCUGUGGGUUUUGUCUGGCGAACUAGAUCUAUGAUUCUUGCAAUGGGAGAAGUGCUUGGUUUUGGGUUCAUACCGUGCGGUGACCUCACCCAGUGACAGAAGGGGUAGCGAGGCACGUAUCGUGUUGUUGCCAUCAAGGGUAAAAAGAUGGGGUUUUCGUCAUUGGUUUGAGAUUAUCCCUCUACAUCAUGUCAUCUUGCUUAAAGCGUUACUCUGUUCAUCAUGAACUCAAUACACUAGAUGCAUGUUGGAUAGCGGUCAAUGUAUGGAGUAAUAGUAGUAGAUGCAGAAAGUAUCGGUCUACUUGUCUCGAAUGUGAUGCCUAUAUGUAUGAUCAUUGCCUUAGAUAUCGUCAUAACUAUGCGCGGUUCUAUCAAUUGCUCGACUGUAAUUUGUUCACCCAUCGAAAUACUUGCUAUUUUGAGAGAAGCCUCUAGUGAACACUAUGGCCCCCAGGGUCUACUUCACACCAUAUUUUCAGCCUUACACCUUUUACUUCGUUGCACUUUCCGCCUUCAAAUCUCACUAUGCAAACAAUCUUGAAGGGAUGGACAACCCCUUUGAAGCGUUUGGUGCAAGCUUGUUUGUGUUUGCGCAGGUACUCUGGACUUGACGAGACCCUCCUUCCGGAUCGUUACCUUGGUUCUCAAACUAAGGGAAAUACUUACUGCUCCUGUGCUACAUCACCCUUUCCUCUUCAAGGGAAAAACCGACGCAAGCCCAAUCUCCAUCAAUGUGUCAAUUUCUGGCGCUGUUGUUUGAGAAGUAGCAACACGUGAGCUCGUUUUCUCUCCUUGACGGUUAGCUAUGAAUUAAGAGUCGUGUCUCUAGCCUGUACUUCGACUGCCAAGGACGCAAUCUGUUCCUCCAUUCGAAGGGAUCGCUCAGUGUUAACGUUGAUGGUAAUGACACCCUUAGGUCCUAGCAUCUUCAACUUGAGGUAUGCAUAAUGGGGAACGACAUUAAAGUGGGCGAACAUUGUACAACCAAGGAGUGAAUGGUACCCGUUGUGGAAGGGAACAAUGUCAAAGAUCAAAUCCUCGAUGUGAAAGUUAUCGGUUGAACCGAACACAACUUCUAGAGUUAUGGUGCCCGAACAAGGAUCCUGAACGCCAGGAAUUACUCCUUUGAAGGUGGUUGCUGCUGGGUUUGUUUCUUAAUUAAUCAAUGCCCAUUUUCCUCAGUGUGUCUUGAUAAAGUAGAUUGAGGCUGCUACCUCCAUCCAUGGGCAUGCGCGUGAGGUGAUACCCAUCAACGAUGGGGUCAAGUACCAAGGCCGCUGAACCCCCGUGCCGAAUACUGGUUGUUUGGUCCGUACAGUCAUAAGUGAUUGGGUAUGCCCACCAUGGGUUAUACUUUGGGGCUUACUUGCCCUAUGGCGUAUACAUCCCGAAGUGUUCGCUUCCUCUCCUUUUUUGGUAAGUGAGUGACAUCGAUCAUGUUCAUGGUCUUUACUUCAGGGGGAAACUAUUUUUGGCCCCGUUGUUUGCGCGACGAGGUUCCUCGUCAUCCUCGCUGCGGGGGCUCGUCGCCUGGUCUUUGGCAACACUCUUGCUCGCUGCCUUGAUCACCCAAUAGUUACGAUUGGUGGGAGUAGCGAGCUUGUUUUGUGCGUCGUGUAUCUGAGAGGGCCUCUCAAAUAUUUUUUCCAGCGUAGUCGGGUCGUCCCGAUUUCCUUUAGCUAGUUUCUUUAUGGUAGUGAGCUCGGAGUUUCUGAAUCCAACAUUGAAUGUCGUGUCAUCGGCUUCACAAUUGCUGUGACGAUGCUUCUUCUUGUUGCAUCAUGACUUUCCAUUGCUAUCUCAGACCGUGGAAGUGUCGGGGUUUGAGGAAGGGUUGUACCGAUGGGCUAGCCAAGUACCCUCACCCUCGCAAUGGCAGGUUAUGAGAGAGGUAAGGGCGGCCAUUGUCCUCGGCCUCUCCUGUCCGAGCGUCCGGGCUAGCCAUUCGCAAUGUAUGUUGUUGCAGAAAGAAGCUAAUGCCUCAGCAUCCGAACAAUCAACAAUCUGAUUUUUUUGGUGAGGAAUAUAUUCCAGAAUUGCCAAGGUGACUAAUCGGGUUGUUGGAUGAUGUGGCUCAAGUCCUCGGACCCAGGUGUCAGGACGUAAGUGCCCUGAAAGUUGUCUCGAAAGGCAUCUUCGAGCUCCCCCAACUCCCAAUGGAUUUUUUGGGGAGGAUGUUUAACCAGUGCCUUGCUGGCCCUUUGAGAUUUAAUGGUAGGUAUUUAAUGGCGUGGGGGUCAUCUCAUGAGCCAUGUGAAUGUGGAGAAGGAAAUCUACAAUCCAUACGGCCGGGUAUGUUGUCAUGUCGUAAUUCUCAAUAUUUACGGGAUUAAACCCUUCGGGGAACUGAUGCCGCAUCACCUCAUCGGUGAAGCACGUUGGGUGGGCGGUGCCCCUUAUCCGAGUUGUAUCAUGCUGGAUAUCGGACAAGAUUCUACCGCGCUGUUGUUCUCGAACUCCAUCUUUCUAAUUGGGUCAAGGUUGGUACAUGUCCUAUCGUAGGUCAAAUUCAUCUUGUUUGUUCUUCUCUAGGGUUAUUGUUCUAUCGUAGGUCAAAUUGGUCUCCGAGUUAAGCCGUCUCCCUUCUCUUUGUCUCGCCCUCGAGGAGGGCGGUCUGGUUGGCCGUCUUGUACGAAUUUGGGUGGUGCAUGCUCUAGGGCCUCGUCUAAGAAUUGUGGCAACAAACGACGAUGCGGGUAGCUUUUAGUUUGUCCCUGUCAGUCUUGGUCGUACCCUUCUUUAGUAGCCAAGACUUUUGUCCAUCUCUUAUUGAUGGAGUCAUGUUCGGCUUUAAGUUGCCUCUGCUUUAGCUUAAGGCUCUAAGCCGUGGCUAUAAGCUUCCGCCAGAAUACUUCUUGAUCCACUGUGUCUUCGAGGCUGAUGAAAUCCUCGUCCCUCAAGCUAUCCUCCUCCUCGACCGAAGGGAUGUAGUUGAUGUCUUCAGAAUCGUCGAGAUCCUCAAGCUUGUCUAGAUCCAUGUAACCCGAUAAAUCAAGGUUGUAUUCGGGGUCUAUAGUUUCUGGGGAUUCUACGGGAUUUUCGGUAUCCUCACAGGCGGGGGCAUCUCCAGUUCUCACAUUACUUUCCUUGCCCUUACGAGCUUUAGGCUUAUUGCGCUAGUGAUGGCGCUUGACGGGUUUGUCGCCACUGUUCUUGACCGGGGUGUCAUCGUUGCUUUUCCCUAUGGCGCCAUCAUCCCUAGGGGUGUCCACCAUGUAGGCGUCGUACGUGCAGGUGGCAGUCCAUCGUCCUGUUAUAGGAGGACCAGGUGAUCCGAUAGGCAUGUCAAUAUUUUCAGCUUCCUCUCGGGAGAAGCCUAACAGAUUCGUUAGAUCUUCGAUAGUGCCUAUGAAGUUGGUGGUGGGUGGGGAAUAAAAUUCCUGGCACCUAGACUCAGAGUCGAUAGGGUCAUGGAUUGGGACCGAGACGUCUGAACUAUCCAUGGCUCGUGCUUGGCUCAGCAUCUCGUUUGACAACGGAAGAUUCACCGAACUAGUUCUCAGAUUUAUGUCGGAGUUGACCUCUGAUGCGUUAGCAUAAGAAGUAUGUUCGGGCUAGGUUACCCCCAUGCCUUCGAACAUAGCGGUUGGAUCCAUCUCAAGGCUGGAUCGGGAGUAGGCACCAUCCCGGACUUGAGGUCGGGGAGAGGACUUGAUGUUAAGGUUUCGGAAUUUCCAAGCUUUUUGGCCGAAGUAGAGAUCUCAGAGAGGAUCGGAUCGCCUUGGGUGUUAGUGACGUACUCUAAGUCACCGAACUGGAAUCCCCAGCCUUGGGCAAACCUAUUGAUGUGGUGAUGAAUUGCCUUCAUGAGCGGGGUGGUACUGCUGAAGCCAGGGGUUUGGUCAGAGAUGGAGAUAUUUCUGGGCUUGUGGUUUUUGCAUGUAACCAAGCGAGCCGUCGAUCCUUUUGACGAUCCUUCAGCGGAUCUCUCAAUGAAAGCACCAAUGUCAGCGUCAAAACCAGCUGAUCUCGAGUAGGGGGUCCGAACUUUGGAUCUUGGGUCAAUGGGUACCAAGGGACGAAGGAGACGGUGUUUACCAAGGUUCGAGACCUCUUGAUAGAGGUAAAACCCAAUGUCCUUCUCUUGUUGUAUUUAUUAAGUAGUACACAGUACAGAGUUUAUCUACCUCGAUAUCGACCGUUGUGCUCUAAACCCUAAUCGUAAUGAGCUUAAUGUAUGCUACGAACUAUAACCCCAAGGUUUAUAUAGACACCACGGAUGCUACGGUUACACGAAGUCAGUUAGAUAAGGAAAGGAAUAUGUUGAUUACUAUCUCAUCUUGAACUGCAUGCCAAGUCUUCAGAAUAGUCCAUCUCGAUUCUAAUACCUCCAAUGAUGAUCGAACGACCAAGGAGUCAGGCCCAUGAGAAUAGAUAAGCGUCCCGAGGAACCCUUAGUCCUCGACUCCCUCAUCCGAGAUGGGGAGGUCGUGUGGGGAGGGCCGGGACGGGGAGGGCCGCCGGGAUGCAUGAGCGGUGCCGGCAUGAGGGAGAUAGAGAGAUAGAGAGAGAGAGAGAGAGAAGUGAGGCGUGAGGGGCAUGGGGAAGAAUCAGAUAAGGUACAACCUAGCAGUAGCGCAUGUAGGGGAUGUGCUCUACUGCUAACUUGGAGGAGCAAAGGUGGGCCUGGCUAGCCACAGUAGUAGCGCUUGCCCAUGAUGGCGCUACUACUAACCCCUCGAGCAUUAUCGUCUUUCAUGGGCCGACGCUACUAGUGUGGCUAGCCCGUGUGCGAACAGUGUGAUGCACCUAUUAAUAGUGCUCCCUAGCACCAGCUGCUCUACUGCUACCAAUUACGAGUAGCGUGCUUUUCGACCAACGCGACUACUAAUUAACAGUAGCACAUUUAUUUUACCCAAUGCUACUCGUAAUAUUCUACCUAUAUACUUUUCCCUAGUAGUGAAGCCCGUAGGGAUGGUGGUGGGAGGGAGCGGCAGCGCCCCACCGGAGGCGGACUGAUACUUGUGAUCAGUGCUGGCUUUCCGUGAAGAGGAACAGCUUAUCGCAGCACAAUGUGGGUAAGUAUUUCCCUCGGUUAUGAAACCACGGUUUAUCAAACCAAUAGGAAUAUCAACCACAACCGUCUUCGGCGGCUGCACACAAAAGAACAAACAACUGGCACCCAACGCGGGCAACAGGGUUGUCAAUCUUAUUGUCUUGUUAUUUGCAAGCAAGUGAGGUGUGUAGAUCAUUGCGGAUAGCAAGAUAACAUAAAAAAUAAUUAAAUGGAAGCAAGGUAUUGAAGGUUUUGUUAAUAUGUUGUGAAUUGACCCGGGGGGCAUAGCUUUCCGUAAUGGCAUCUCUCAUGAAAAACAACAUACGGUGGGUACACAAAUUACUAUGGGGCAAUUAACAGAUAAGCAGAUAGUAAUGCGAUAUUGACGACAAUGAUCAUGUGCAUAUAGGUAUCACGUCCAUAAACAAAUAGGCCGACUCCUUCCUGCACCUAUUACUAUUACUCCACUCAUCGACCGCUAUCCAACAUGCAUCUAGAGUAUUAAGUAAAACAAAGUAAAGCAUGGAGAACAAUGACAUGAUCUAGACAUAGUAAACUCAAGCAAUAUGAAUAAACCCCGUCAUUUUAUCCUUAGUAGUAGCAACACAAAUAUUCUUCUUGUUCCCUUUUGUCACUGGGAUAUAGAAAUUUUCCAGGUUGAACCUACCACAAUGCAACUAUCUCACCAAAGAAUUGUUGAUCUAGUUGGCCAAACUAUUUCAAUAGAUCGGAGAGAAUUAUGAAGCUAUCAUAAUCAUGCACAUAAGAAUCAUAUAAGUAUUCAGAGGAGACUAAAAUAUUUAGCAUUAAUAAACUGAACAUAAACCCACAAUUCAUCAAAUCCCAAUAAAUGCACCGCACAAAAGCAAUUACAUCAUAUGAAUCGAAGCGAAGAUGCGAUGAUCAUUGUAUUGAAGAUCAAAGAGAGAGAGAGAUUGCCAUCUAGGUACUCGCCAUGGACCCGUAGGUCUGUGAUGAACUGCUCACAGAUCAUUUUGAGGGCACCAAGGUUGAUGAAGAGACCCUCCAUGAUCAAUCCCCCCUUCGACAGGGUGCCGAGACGGAGCCCCAGAUGGCCUCCCAUUGGAACAGAGACUUGCGGUAGCGAAAAAGUGUUUCAGGACUCUCUAUGAUGGUUUUAGGGUAGAUUAGAAUUUAUAAGCCAGAGAAUGAAGUCGGGAGUGCCACGAGGGAGGCACAAGCCAUCAGGGUGCCCCCAGGUCGGGUCGUGUCGGCUUGUGGGGUCCCGUGAGGUCUCCUUCCUUCUUCCAAUGCUUGUUGGUCUUCUUUUGGUCGAGAAAAAAUCACCAAAAAGUUUCAGGGCAAUUGGACUUUGUUUGUUAUGGAAAAACUGAAAAGUGAAAAACACGCGGAAAAGAGCAACUCGCACUAGGUAGUGGGUGAAUAGGUUAGUGUUCCAAAAUAGUAUAAAUUGGUAAACUAGGCGUACUUUUUUAUUAUGCGUCAACUUUUUAUUCUUCACUCAAUACAUGAACGUGAACCACUGGAUAUAGCAUAAAAGUGGAAUAGAAUAUGGUGGUAUAUUUCGAAUUGGUAUAAGUGGAGAAGAUGGUCUCACAUCAACUAGGCGUUGAUACGUCUCCAACGUAUCUAUGAUUUUUGUUGGUUCCAUGCUAUUAUCUUGUCAACUUUGGAUGUUUUGUAUGCAUGAAUAUGAUAUUUUAUAUCUUUUUUGGGACUAACCUAUUAACUCAGUGCCAAGUGUCAUUUUUCUGUUUUUUCCGUGUUUUUGACCUUUCUCGGAGGAGAAUAUUAAACGGAGUCCAAACGGAAUAAAACCUGCGGAAUGAUUUUUUCCAUAACAGAAGAUAUGCAGGGAACUUGAGAACCAAGGCAAAGGACCUCGGGGGAGGUCACAAGCCCACUAGCCCCAGCCUGGGGGGGCUAGCAGGCUUGUGGGCCCCCCGUGGCUCCUCUGCCCUACUUCUUCCGCCUAUAAAUCCUCUAAAAAUCCAAAACCAGCACAAAGAGCCACGAAAAUACUUUUCCGCUGCAGCAAGCUUCUGUCUCCGCAAGAUACCAUCUGGGGCACGUUCUGGUGCCCUGUCGAAGGGGGGAUUCGGACACGGAGGACUUCUUCAUCAACACCAUUGCCUCCCCAAUGAUGUGUGAGUAGUUCACCACAGACCUUCGGGUCCAUAGCUAGUAGCUAGUUGACUUCUUCUCUCUCUUGGAUCUUCGAUACAAAGUUCUCCAUGAUCAUCAUGGAGAUCUAUCCGAUGUAACCUUUUUUUGCGGUGUGUUUGUCGAGAUCCGAUGAACUGUGGAUUUAUGAUCAGAUUAUCUAUGAAUAUUAUUUGAGUCUCGUGUGAUCUCUUAUAAGCAUGAUUUCUUAUCCUUGUAAUUCUCUUCGAGUUGUGGGUUUCGUUUGGCCAACUUGAUCUAUAAUUAUUGCAAUGGGAGAAGUGCUUGGUUUUGGGUUCAUACCGUGCGGUGUCCUCACCUAGUGAGAUAAGGGGUAGCGAGGCACGCAUCAUGUUGUUGCCAUCAACGGUAAAAAGAUGGGGUUUAUAUCAUAUUGCAUGAAUGUAUCCCUCUACAUCAUGUCAUCUUGCUUAAGGCGUUACUCCGUUUGUUAUGAACUUCAUACACUAGAUGCAUGCUGUAUAGCGGUCGAUGUGUGGAGUAAUAGUAGUAGAUGCAGACAGUAUCGGUCUACUUGUCUCGGACGUGAUGCCUAUAUAUAUGAUCAUUGCCUUAGAUAUCAUCAUGACUUUGCGAGAUUCUAUCAAUUGCUCGACAGUAAUUCGUUCACACACCGUAAUACUUGCUAUCAUGAGAGAAGCCUCUAGUGAACACUAUGGCCCACGGGUCUACUUCACAUCAUAUUUUCAGAUCUACACUUUUACUUUGUUACACUUUCCGCCUUCAGAUCUCACCUUGCAAAUAAUCGUGAAGGGAUUGACAAUCCCUUUAUAGUGUUGGGUGCAAGUUUGUUUGUUUUUGCGGAGGUACAUUGGUGCCUUGUCUUGAUACUCCUAGUGGAUUGAUACCUUGGUUCUUAAACUGAGGGAAAUACUUACUGCUACUGUGCUGCAUCACCCUUUCCUCUUCAAGGGAAAAAACCAACGCAAGCUCAAGAUGUAGCAAGAAGAAUUUCUGGCGCCGUUGCCGGGGAGUAUCAAGUCAAGAAUAGUCUCCCGUCAACGUGCCAAUUUCUGGCGCCAUUGCCACGGAGUAUUCUAAGUGAAGCAUAUCCAAGUAACUAUCGCAAACUCAUCUCUUGCAUUUACUUUUAUUUGCCUUUUGCCUCUCGUUUUCCUCUCCCCCACUUCUGAAAAAGAAAUUACAAAAAUAUUUUCCUUUUUUGUUUACCUUUCCUUUGCUUGUGUGCUAUGUGCCUUCAAUAUGCUUGCAUCUUCGCUUGCUGAAAAUCUGUUGAUAUGGAUCCUCAUCCACUUGCUAAUCUCUUUAAGAGAUCCAAUUAUGUUGAACCAAUUACUAGUGAGUUUUGUGCACUAGAUUAUCUUUAUGAAGUUUUGCUUAAGAUGCGUGAAUCUGAAAAUCGUGAUGAAGAAAUUUAUGAAGUGAUUCACGAGGGCUCCUUAAAUGAAAAGCUUGGUUGCAAUGGUUUCACUAUGAAUUCUAUUAAUGUCAAUCAUGCUAAAAAUAUACAAAACCCUAAGCUUGGGGAUGCUAGUUUCGCUAUGUCCACUACUUGUUGCAAUGAUCGUGAUUGGGGUGAUGAUUUUUCUUAUGAUCUUGAAAAUUUGCUUAAGCCUCAUGAUGAAUAUGAUAUUUGCAAUAAUAUUUAAAGUGGGUUUGGAGAAGUCAUGACUUUAGUUGAUGAUAAUCCCACUAUUUUUGAAGAGCGCCAACUUUGCAUGCAUAUGGAUCAUGAAAAGAAUAUCCUUUGUGAUAGCUAUAUUGUUGAAUUUGAAUAUGAUCCCACAUGUAGUUGUUAUGAGAGAGGAAAAUAUUGUGGUAGAAACUUCAUGUUACUAAAUUACCUGUCGUUAUGUUGAGAUUGAUAUUGUCUCUUUCUUCUUCCUUGCAUAUGGUAGUUAUUGCUUGUCUUGAUAAUUUGUUUUCCUAUAAAAUGCCUAUGCAUAGGAAGUAUUUUAGACUUAUAUGUUAUUUUCACAUGCUUUAUGAUGCUCUCGUUGUGCUUCAAUUCUUGUCUUUUGUGUGAGCAUCAUUGAAUUAUCAAUGCCUAGCUAAGGGCGUUAAACGAUAGCGCUUGUUGGGAGGCAACCCAAUGAAUAAAUUUAUUUUUGCUUUUUGGGUUCUGUUUUGUUGUGUCCACACCAUCAUAAUUCUGUUAUUAUUGUGUUUUUCGUGUUUCUUUUUGUCUUUGUGCCAACUAAAACCUUAAUGAUUAGUUUUUGUGAUGGUUGUUUGAUCAUGCUGAAAAAGAUAGUAACUUUGUGCUCACGAAAUAAUUUUUAAUUCCUAUCCAGAAAGAGAUUUUGAGUUGAUUCUUUUUUUCUUCUGGUUGAUAUGCAAAAUUCCCUAAUUGUCAUAAUGUUUCAGAAUUUUUGGGAUAAUAGAAGUAUACGAAGUAUAUAGAUUGCUACACACUGGUCUAUUUUCGACAGAUUCUGUUUUUGUUGUGUUGAUUGCUUAUUUUGAUGAAACUAUGGAUAGUAUCGGGGGGUACUAGCCAUGGAAAAGUGAGAAUACAGUAAUCUAACAUCAAUCUAAAUAGAAAUCAAGUUUAUUACAGUACCUAAAGAGUUGGUAUUUUGUUUACUUAUGCUAAUGAUAUCACGAGUUUCUGUUUAAGUUUUGUGUUGUGAAGUUUUCAAAUUUUGGGUGAUGUUCUCAUGGACAAUGGGAUAAAGAGUGGAAAGAUCUUAAGCUUGGGGAUGCCCAAGGAAUCCCGAGCCAAAUUCAAGGACACCAAAAAGCCUAAGCUUGGGGAUGCCCCGGGAAGGCAUCCCCUCUUUCGUCUUCAAUCCAUCGGUAACGUUACUUGGAGCUAUAUUUUUAUUCACCACAUGAUAUGUGUUUUGCUUGGAGCGUCGUGUAUUAUAGGAGUCUUUUCUUUUUGUUUUGUUGCAAUCAUCCGUGUUGCACACCUUUCUGAGAGGGACAUGCACUCAUCGUGAAUUUGCCAGAAUACUCAUUGAGCUUCGCAUAUAUAUUUUGAGUUAGGCAAUUUAGCUCUAGUGCUUCACUUAGAUCUUUUGAGAGCACAGCGGUGUCAUAUUUUAAAGAAAUAAAAACUCUCAAUCUUCACUUAUAUCUUUUUGAGAGUGCUCUCUGUAAGUAACUUGGUAAUUGGCGUGUGCUCUGAAAGUAGUCCCAAAAAUGAUAGGCAUCCAAAGAGGGUAUAAUAAAAACUUCCAAAUUCAAGUGCAUUGAUUAGUAAGAAAAGUUUGAUUCCUAACAAUUAAGUUUUGUGACAUGGAUUUGGUAAUAUUAGAGUUCUGUUAGUAGGGUGUUAUGAAUCUAGAAAUACUUGUCUUGAAGUUAGUGAUUCCCGUAGCAUGCACGUAUGGUGAACCGCUAUGUUAGGAAGUCGGAGCAAAAUUGAAUUUUGAAUUGUCAUCAUUUGUGUGGCGGUCGGGAUCGCGCGAUGGUUAACACGUACCAACCCUGCCCCUAGGAGUAUGCGUUUAGCACUUUGUUUCGAUUACUAAUAAAACUUUCGCAAUAAGUAUAUGAGUUCUUCAUGACUAAUGUGAGUCCAUGGUAUAGAUGCACUUUCACCUUCCACCAUUGCUAGCCUCUCUAGUGCCGCGCAACUUUCGCCGGUGCACAAACCCACCAUAUACCUUCCUGAAAACAGCCACCAUACCUACCUAUCAUGGCAUUUUCAUAGCCAUUCUGAGAUAUAUUGCCAUGAAACUCCCACCGUUCCGUCUCAUGACUUGUGCCGUCACUUUCAUAUUGCCUUUGCAUGAUCGUAAGAUAGCUAGCGAGAUGUUUCAACGUCAUACGCUAAGCUAGAUCAUUGCACAUCCCGGUACACUGCCGGGGGCAUUUCCUACAGAACUAUCAUUGCUCUAAGUCUUGAGUGUGAGUAAAUAAAAGUGUGAUGAUCAUCAUUAUUAGAGCAUUGUCCCAUGUGAGGAAAUAAAAAAAAGAGGCCAAAUAUGUCCACCAAAAAAAUGAAAAGAGGCCAAAGAGGCCAAACAAAAAAAAGAGAGAAAAAUAGAGAAGGGACAAUGUUACUAUCUUUUUCCACACUUGUGCUUCAAAAUAGCACCAUGUUUUUCAUGAUAGAGAGUCUCUUCUUUUGACACUUCCAUAUACUAGUGGGAAUUUUCAUUAUAUAACUUGGCUUGUAUAUUCCAAUGAUGGGCUUCCUCAAAAUUGCCCUAGGUCUUCGUGAGCAAGCAAGUUGGGUGCACACCCACUAGUUUUCCUUUUGAACGUUCACACACUUAUAGCUCUCGUGCAUCUAUUGCAUGGUAAUCCCUACUCAUUCACAUUGAUAUCUAUUGAUGGACAUCUCCAUAGCCCAUUAAUACGCCAAGUCAAUGUGACCAUCUCCUCCUUUUUGCCUCACAACCUCCACCACACUCUAUUCCACCUAUAGUGCUAUAUCCAUGGCUCAUGCUCAUGUAUUGCGUGAGAGUUGAAAAAGUUUUAGAAAGUAAGAGUGCGAAAACAAUUACUUGGCCAAUACCGGGGUUGUGCAUGAUUUAAAUUCGUUGUGUGGGGAUGAUGGAGCAUAGCCAGACUAUAUGAUUUUGUAGGGAUAACUUUCCUUGGCCUUGUUAUUUCAAAAGUUCAUGAUUACUUUGCAUGUUUGCUUGAAGUAUUAUUGUUUUCAUGUCAAUAGUAAACUAUUGUUUUGAAUCUUACGGAUCUGAACAUUCAUGCCACAAGAAAGAAGUUACAAAGGACAAAUAUGUUAGGUAGCAUUCCACAUCUAAAUUUCAGUCUUUAUCACUUCCCUGCUCGAGGACGAGCAGGAGUUAAGCUUGGGGAUGCUUGAUACGUCUCCAACGUAUCUAUGAUUUUUGUUGGUUCCAUGUUAUUAUCUUGUCAACUUUGGAUGUUUUGUAUGCAUGAAUAUGCUAUUUUAUAUCUUUUUUGGGGACUAACCUAUUAACUCAGUGCCAAGUGCCAGUUUCUGGUUUUUUCCGUGUUUUUGACCUUUUUCACAGGAGAAUAUUAAACGGAGUCCAAACGGAGAACCAAGGCAAAGGACCUCGGGGAAGGUCACAAGCCCACUAGCCCCGGCCUGGGGGCGGGCCUAGAAGGCUUGUGGGCCCCCCGUGGCUCCUCUGCCCUACUUCUUCCGCCUAUAAAUCCUCUAAAAAUCCAAAACCACCAGAGAGAUCCACGAAAAUACUUUUCUGCCGCCGCAAGCUUCUGUCUCCGCAAGGUACCAUCUGGGGCAUGUUCUGGUGCCCUGCCAGAGGGGGGAUUCGGACACGGAGGGCUUCUUCAUCAACACCAUUGCCUCUUUGAUGAUGCGUGAGUAGUUCACCACAAACCUUCGGGUCCAUAGCUAGUAGCUAGAUGGCUUCUUCUCUCUCUUGGAUCUUCAAUGCAAAGUUCUCCAUGAUCUUCAUGGAGAUCUAUCCGAUGUAACCUUCUUUUGCGGUGUGUUUGUCGAGAUCCGAUGAGUUGUGGAUUUAUGAUCAGAUUAUCUAUGAAUAUUAUUUGAGUCUCCUCUUAUCUCUUAUAUGCAUGAUUUCGUAUCCUUGUAAUUCUCUUCGAGUUGUGGGUUUCGUUUGGCCAACUUGAUCUAUAAUUCUUGCAAUGGGAGAAGUGCUUGGUUUUGGGUUCAUACCGUGCGGUGUCCUCACCUAGUGACAGAAGGGGUAGCGAGGCACGCAUCGUGUUGUUGCCAUCAAGUGUAAAAAGAUGGGGUUUAUAUCAUAUUGCAUGAAUUUAUCCCUCCACAUCAUGUCAUCUUGCUUAAGGUGUUACUCCAUUUGUUAUGAACUUAAUACACUAGAUGCAUGCCGGAUAGCGGUUGAUGUGUGGAGUAAUAGUAGUAGAUGCAGACAGUAUCGGUCUACUUGUCUCGGGCGUGAUGCAUGUAUGUAUGAUCAUUGCCUUAUAUAUAAUCACGACUUUGCGCGAUUCUAUCAAUUGCUCGACAGUAAUUCAUUCACCCACCGUAAUACUUGCUAUCAUGAGAGAAGCCUCUAGUGAACACUAUGGCCCUCGGGUCUACUUCACAUCAUAUUUUCAGAUCUACACUUUUACUUUGUUGCACUUUCCACCUUCAGAUCUCACCUUGCAAAUAAUCGUGAAGGGAUUGACAACCCUUUAUAGCGCUGGGUGCAAGUUUGUUUGUUUUUGCGCAGGUACAUUGGUGCCUUGUCUUGAUACUCCUACUGGAUUGAUACCUUGGUUCUCAAACUGAGGGAAAUACUUACUGCUACUAUGCUGCAUCACCCUUUCCUCUUCAAGGGAAAAACCAACGCAAGCUCAAGAGGUAGCAGGCGUACCAAUGAGCUAUGGAUAUGCCCGUUGAUAGAUAUUGGCGCGAGGAGUAGGAAUUGCCAUGCAAAUGAUGCACAAGAUCUAUAAGUGUAUGAAAGCUCCACUAAAACUAAGUGGGGGUGUGCAUCCAACUUUCUUGCUCAUGAAGACCUCGAGCAUUGGAGGACGCCCAUCAUUAGAAUAUACAAGCCAAGUUUAUGAAAAAGUAAUUCCCACUAGCAUAUGAAUGAUAUAACAUGAGAAUCUAUGUAUGAAGAACAAGGUGCCACUUUAAGGCACAAGUGUGAUAAAGGAUAGUAGAAAAGUCCAUUCUCUCUUUUUAUCUCAUUCAUUUUUUUCAUUUUUUAUUAUUAUGCUGGGCUCAUUUGGCCUCCCGCAUUUUUAUUUCUUCAUUGGGACACUACCCUAAUAAUGAUGAUCAUCACACUUUUAUUUACUUACAACUCAAUAUGAAAACUGAUAGGAUGACAUGACUAUGAUUGAAUGCAUCAUGUAUCAAAAAUAUGAUGAAUAGUGAUUUUACCACAAAUACUAUGUCAGAUCUAUAUGAUCAUGCAAAGCAUUAUGAUGAUGAAUGAACUAGUCAUGUGAAGUGAUGAUGGCAUUUGCAUGGCAAUAUAUCUCUGAAUGGCUAUGGAAAUGCCAUGAUAGGUACGCAUGGUGGCUGUUUUGAGGAGGAUAUAAAAAGGUUUUUGUGCAACAAAGCAUGUCAUGUCAUGGGGCUUGGAUGCACUAGAGAAAGUUGCAUCGGUUCUCAAGGUGAGACCGGGCGAUGCACGGUACCCAAGAGGCUACCAAAUAUGAGGAGGAGAGAUUGUGUAUGUCCAUGGUGUCACAUUAGUCAUGAAGAACUCAUGUACUUAUUGCAAAGUUUUUUAGGUUUAUCACACAUCAAAGUACUACUCACAUGCCCCGAAGGAGAGGGUUGGUAGGAAUUAACAAUUGUACAACUCUGACUCAAAACAACACUAGGAUUUCAACGAGGAACAGAAAUGCUCACACAUCAUCACUAUGCCUUUUAAAAAAUAGAUGAACAAGAAGUUUAACAUAUCUUAAUAUCGACACCUAUCUUAAUUAAUAAUAAUGCACUCACGCCUUUUUCAUAUCACCACAUCAAUAUCACUAACCCAUAAUUUCUCUAUAUGUGCUAGAUGAUGGUUUUAUUCAUCACUCAUAGAAUACCCAUUAUUUUUUAUCCAGUCUUAUGACCAAUAAAACUUACCGUCCCUAUUUUCCCAGCUCUCAAAUAAAUAUAAGUGAAGAAGGAGAGCAUAUUAUUUCUAUAGAAUCUACACGCCACCAUGCUGAAAAAGCUAUAAGUGAACUACUAGAGCAAUUGCUAAGCUCAAAAGAUAGAAGUGAACCACAUCGAGUAUUCCAACAAAUUGUGAUGAUGAGGUAUCUCUCUCAAAUAGGUGUGUCCAAAAAACAAUGAUUGGGGCAAACUGAAAGUAAAAGCAAACGAUGCUCCAAGCAAAACUCAUAUCAUGUGAUGAAUAAAAAUAUAGCUCCAAGUGACAUACCGAUGGAUCGAGAUGAAACGAGGGGGUGCCUUCCACGGCAUCCCCAAGCUUAGUCGCUUUAGUCUUCCUAGAAUAUUACCUUGGGGUGCCUUGAAAAUACCCAAGCUUGGGCUUGUGCUGCUCCUCAAUCCCUUGUCCAUCGGGAUAAUACCCAAAACAUGAAAACUUCAAUCACACAAAACUCAACAAAACUUCAUGAGAUCCUUAGUAUAAGCAACAUAUCAAAUACUUUCAGGUGCUGUUAUAAGUUGAUUAUUAAUAUAUUUUAGCAUAGGGUACGGUAUCAUAACUCCUCCACGGGUUAUACCCCCUAUACAAUUCAUAGCAUCAUCAAAACAAGAAACUACGCAAGCAAAAACAAAAUCUGACUGAAACAGAACAAUGUGUAGUUAUCUGUAAUGAACCUAUGCUUCUGUAACUCCAAAACUUCUAAAAAAUUAGGAUGACCUGAGGAUUUUGUAUAGAAAUAUUGUGUAAAACAUUCAGCUUAAAAAGACGUUCGAGUAAAAUCAACUAAUUCUGCACUUGGUAUUAAAGUUUCUGUUUUGCACCCUAUCAGUUCUACUCAUAAUGCAAAUCACCUAGAAAGCCUUACUUGGCACAAACAUUAACUAAAACAUAAAAAAAUCAUUAUAGAUGCAAUAAUCAUGUUAUCACAAACUAACAGAAAUAAAUGAUAACUAUUGAGUUGUCUUCCAACAAGCUCUUUCUUUAUAGUCAAUAAGAUAAGCUUGAAAUUUCGAUGAUGCUCACAUAAAAGACAGGAAUUGAAUCACAAAGAGAGCAUCAUAAAACAUUUGACAAGAACAUUCAAGUCUAACAUAAUUCCUGUGCAUAGGAAUUUUAUAAGCAAACAAUUUAUCAAGACAAAAAGUGUUUAGCAUUAGCAAGUAGGAAGAAUGAAGUACUAAAAAUUUGAAUAUCAAGAGAGGUAAGUGAGUAACAUGAAAAUUUCUAUAACCAUAUUUGCCUCUCUCAUAAUGAUUACGUGUAGGAUCAUAUUCAAAUCCAACAAUAUAGCAAUCAUGUUUUUCAUUCAAGGACCUAUCUCGAAUCACUUUAUAAAUUUCACAAUUUUUGGAAUCAUGAUUUUCAAGCAAGACCUCAUAAAGAUAAUUUAGUGCACUCUCACUAGAAAUUGUUUCAUGAUAAACGGGUCUUUUAAAAAGAUUGGCUAGUGGAUGAGGAUCAAUUUACCUUAAUAUUUGCAUUUUUCUUUCUCUUUUGGUGUGACAAAUAUAAAGAUAUCAUAGCUAGGCAAGUAAACUAGAAAGCAAAGAUGCAAACUAGUGACAAGCAAAGGUCAAUAUUUUUAUAUUUUUGAUAUUUUUUGAAGCAAGAAAAAUGUACCAGAAAAUAAAAAGAGGAACAAGUGAAUGAAAAUUAGUGUCAAGUUACUUGGUAGAUGGUGAUGAUAUUCCCUGGCAACGGCUCGGGAAAUCCUUCCUGAUACUUGUGAUCUGCGUUGGGUUUUAUGUGAAGAGGAACGGGUUAUCACAGGACAAUGUGGGUAAGUAUUUCCCUCACUUAUGCAACCAAGAUUUAUCAAACCAAUAGGAAUAUCAACCACAACCAUCUUCAGUGGCUACGCACAAAAGAACAAACAACUUGCACCCAACGCACGCAAGAGGGUUGUCAAUCCUCUUGUCUUCUUAUUUGCAAGCAAGUGAGGUGUUUGAUAAUUGUAGACAGAAAGAUACAAAAAUAAUUAAAUGACAACAAGGUAUUGAAGGUUGUAUCAAUAUGUUGUGAAUAGACCCAGGGGCCAUAGCUUUCCCUAAUGGCAUCCCUCAUGAAAAACAGCGUACGGUGGGUAAACAUAUUAGGGCAAUUGAUAGAAAAUCAGAUAGUUAUGCGAUAUUCAUGGUAAUGAUCAUGUGUAUACAGGCAUCAUGUCCAUAAAAAAAUUGGCUGACUCCUACCUACACCUACUAAUAUUACUUCACUCAUCGACCGCUAUCUAGCAUGCAUCUAGAGUAUUAAGUAAAACAGAGUAAUGCAUGGAGAACAAUGACAUGACGUAGACAAAGUGAACUUAAGCAAUAUGAAUAAACUCCAUCAUUUUAUCCUUAUAAAAGUAACACAAAGAUGCAUCUUGUCUCCUUCUAUCAUUGGGAUAUUGAAAUUUGUCAGGUUAAACCUACCACAAUGCACCUCUCUCACCUAAGAAAUGUCGAUCUAGAUGGCCAAACUAUUUCAAUAUAUCAGAGAGAAUUAUGAAGCUAUCAUAAUCAUGCACAUAAGAAUCAUAUUACUAUUAAGAUAAGACUCAAAUAUUUAUCAUGAAUAAGCUGAAAAUAAACCCACAAUUCAUCGAAUUCGAACAAACGCACUUCACGAAAGUAAUUACAUCAUAUGGAUCAAAGCAAAGAUGCGAUGAUCAUUGUAUUGAAGAUCAAAGAGAGAGAGAGAGAGAGAGAGAGAUUGCCAUCUAGGUGCUCGCCAUGGACCCGUAGGUCUGUGGUGAACUACUCAAAGAUCAUCGUGAGGGCAGCAAGAUUGAUGAAGAGGCCCUCUGUGAUCGAUCCCCCUCCGGUAGGGUGCCGAAACGGAGCUCCAGAUGGUCUCCCGUCGGAACAAAGACUUGCGGCAGCGUAAAAAGUGUUUCUAGACUUUCUCUGAUGUUUUUAGGGUAGAUGUGAAUUUAUAAGCUAGAGAACGGAGUUGGCAGGACCAUUAGGGAGGCACAAGCUAUCAGGGUUCCCCCGGGUCGCGCCCUAUUGGUUUGUGGGCCCCUCGUGAGGCCUCUAGCCUUCUUUCGAUGCUCGUUGGUCUUCUUUUGUUUUUCAGAAAAAUCACCAAAAAAUUCAGAGAAAUUGGACUUUGUUUGGUAUGGAAAACCUACAUAGUGAAAACACACACGAAACAACAACUAGCACUGGGCACUAGGUCAAUAGGUUAUUGCUCAAAAAAUAUAAAUUUGUAAAUAAAUACUCCAAAAGUACUCUAGAAUGAUAAUAUAUCAGCAUGGAACAAUCAAAAAUUAUUGAUACGUUGGAGAUGUAUCAUGGCCGCAGAUGCACACGAAGCUGAUACGUCUCCAACGUAUCUAUAAUUUUUGAUGGUUUCAUGCUAUUAGCUUGUCAAACUUUGGAUGUUUUGUAUGCCUUUUAUAUAUUUUUUGGGACUAACUUAUUAACUCAGUGCCAAGUGCCAGUUCCUGUUUUUUCCAUGUUUUUGACCACUUUUAGAGGAAGAUCUUAAACGUAGUCCAAACGGAACGAAACAGAAAAAGAUCGGGAAGCCUGAGAAUCAAGGCAGGGGGACACCAGGGACCCCACAAGCCCCCUAGCCGCGGCCAGGGGGGCCGCGCCUCCUAGGCUUGUGGGCUCCUUGGGCCUUCUCUGCCCUAGGUCUUUCGCCUAUAAAUUCCCUAAAAUCCCAAAAGGAGAUCAUCGAAACUACUUUUCCGCCGCCGCAAGCUUCUGUUUUCACAAGAUCCCAUCCUGGGCACGUUUUGGUGCCCUGCCGGAGGGGGAUUCGGAUACGGAGGACUUCUUCAUCAACACCAUGACCUCUCCGAUGAUGCGUGAGUAGUUCACCAUAGAACUAUGGGUCCAUAUCUAUUAGCUAGAUGGCUUCUUCUCUCUCUUGGAUCUUCAAUACAAAGUGCUCCAUGAUCUUCAUGGAGAUCUAUCUGAUGUAAUCUUCUUUGCGGUGUGUUUGUCGAGAUCCGAUGAAUUGUGGAUUUAUGAUCAGAUUAUCUGUGAAUCUUAUUUGAGUUUCUUCUGAUCUCUCUUAUGCAUGAUUGCAUAUCCUUGUAAUUCUCUUCGAGUUGUGGGUUUUGUUUGGCCAACUAGAUCUAUGAUUCUUGCAAUGGGAGAAGUGCUUGGUUUUGGGCUCAUACGUGCGGUGACCUCACCCAGUGAUAGAAGGGGUAGCGAGGCACGCAUCAUGUUGUUGCCAUCAAGGGUAAAAAGAUGGGGUUUUCAUCAUUGGUUUGAGUUUAUCCCUCUACAUCAUGUCAUCUUUUAUAAGGCGUACUCUGUUCGUCAUGAACUAAAUACACUAGAUGCAUGCUGGAUAGCGGUUGAUGUGUGGAGUAAUAGUAGUAGAUGCAGAAAGUAUCGGUCUACUUGUCUCGGACGUGAUGCCUAUAUGUAUGAUCAUUGCCUUAGAUAUCGUCAUGACUUUGCGCGGUUCUAUCAAUUGCUCGACAGUAAUUUGUUCACCCACCGUGAUAUUUGCUAUUUUGAGAGAAGCCUCUAGUGAACACUAUAGCCCCCGGGUCAACUCCACACCAUAUUUUCAGCCUUACUCUUUUUCUUCGUUGCACUUUCCUCCUUUAGAUCUCACUUUGCAAUCAAUAUUGAAGGGAUUGACAACCCCUUUAUAGCGUUGGGUGCAAGAUCUUUGUGUUUGUGCAGGUACUCUGGACUUGACGAGAUUCAACUACUGGAUUGAUACCUUGUUUCUCAAACUGAGGGAAAUACUUACUGCUCCUGUGUUGCAUCACCCUUUCCUCUUCAAGGGAAAAACCAACGCAAGCAAGUCUCCGUCAACGUGUCAAUUUCUGGCGCUGUUGUUUCAGAAGUAGCAAGAAGGAUUACUGGCACCGUUGCCGGGGAGGAUAAAGUCAAGAAAUCGUCCAAGUAAGUGUCGCAAACUCAUCUCUUGCAUUUAUGUUUUUUUUGCCUCUCGUUUUCCUCUCCCCCACUUCUGAAAAAAAAUACAAAAAUAUUUGCUUUUUUGUUUGCCUUUUUCGUUUUCCUUUUUCAUUUCGCCCUUUUCUUUCGCUUGCUUUCUAUUCGCUUGUGUUGCCAUGUGCCUUCAAUAUGCUUGCAUCUUCGCUUGCUGAAAAUCUAGUGAUAUGGAUCCUCAUCCACUUGCUAAUCUCUUUAAGAGAUCCAAUUAUGUUGAUCCAAUUGCUAGUGAGUUGAGUGCACUUGACUAUCUUUAUGGAGUUUUGCUUGAGAUGCGUGGAUCUGAAAAUCGUGAUGAAAUUUAUGAAGUGAUUCACGAGGGCUCCUUGAAUGAAAAGCAUGAUUGCAAUGGUUUCACUAUAAAUCCUAUUAGUGUCAAUCAUGCUAAAAAUAUGCAAAACCCUAAGCUUGGGGAUGCUAGUUUUGCUAUGUCCACUACUUGUUGCAAUGAUCGUGAUUGGGGUGAAAAAUUUUCUUAUGAUCUUGAAAAUUUGUUUAAGCCUCAUGAUGAUUAUGAUAUUUGCAAUAAUAUUGAAAGUGGGUUUGGAGAAGUCAUGACUUUAGUUGAUGAUGAUCCCACUAUUUUUGAAGAGCGUCAACUUUGUAUGCAUGUGGAUCAUGAAAAGAAUAUCCUUCGUGAUAGCUAUAUUGUUGAAUUUUAUUAUGAUCCCACAUGUAAUUUCUAUGAGAGAGGAAAAUAUUGUGGUAGAAACUUUCAUGUUACCAAAUUACCUCUCGUUAUGUUGAGAUUGCUAUUGUCUCUUUCUUCUUCCUUGCAUUUGGUAACUAUUGGUCGUCUUGCCAAUUUGUUCUCCUAUAAAAUGCCUAUGCAUAGGAAGUAUGUUAGACUUAGAUUUUAUUUUCACAUGCUUUAUGAUGCUCUCGUUCUGCUUCAAUUCUUGUCUUUUGUGUGAGCAUCAUUGAUUUAACAAUGCCUAGCUAAGGGCGUUAAACAAUAGCGCUUGUUGGGAGGCAACCCAAUGAAUUUAUUUCAUUUUCUUUUUGUUUUGUUGCGUCCACACCAUCAUAAUUCUAUUAUGAUUGUGUCUUUUGUGUUUCUUUUUAUGUUUGAGCCAAGCAAAACCUUUAUGACUAGUCUUGGUGAUGGUUGUUUGAUCUUGCUGGAAAAAGACAGAAACUUUUUGCUCACGAGAUGAUUUUUCAUUUUUUAUUCAGAAAGAGCUUUUGAGUUGAUUCUUUUUGCCGCUGGUUGAUAUGCCUUUUUCCCAUGCAGUCGUAAUUUGUCAGACUUUGAGAGGUACCAGAAGUAUACGAAGUAUACAGAUUUCUACAGACUAGUCUAUUUUUGACAGAUUCUGUUUUUGUUGAGUUGGUUGCUUGUUUUGAUGAAACUAUGGUUAGUAUCGGGGGCUACUAGCCAUGGAAAAGUGAGAAUACAGUAGCCCAACACCAAUAUAAAUAGAAAUCAAGAUUGCUACAGUACCUAAACUGGUGAUAGUUUGUUUUCUUGUGCUAAUGUUAUCACGAGUUUCUGUUUAAGUUUUGUGUUGUGAAGUUUUCAAGUUUUGGGUGAUGUUCUCAUGGACAAAGAGAUAAGGAGUGGAAAGAUCUCAAGCUUGGGGAUGCCCAACGCUUCCCAAGCCAAAUUCAAGGACACCAAAAAGCCUAAGCUUGGGGAUGCCCCGGGAAGGCAUCCCCUCUUUCGUCUUCAAUCCAUCGGUAACGUUACUUGGAGCUAUAUUUUUAUUCACCACAUGAUAUGUGUUUUGCUUGGAGCAUCUUGUAUCUUAGGAGUCUUUUCUUUUUGUUGUGUCACAAUAAUCCUUGCUGCGGACCCUUUGAGAGAGACAUGCACUCAUCGUGAUUUUGCUAGAAUGCUCAUAGUUCUUCACUUAUAUCUUUGAGCUAGAUAAUUUUGCUCUAUGUGCUUCACUUAGAUCUUUUAGAGCACGGCGGUGCAUGACUUGGUAGUUGGCUUAUUGUAUGAAAGUAGUCCCAAAGGUGAUAGGUACCCAAAGAGGAUACAAAAACUUCCAUCUUCAUGUGCAUUGAGUAGAAAGAGAAGUUUGAAUCCUCUCAAUUAGUUUUGAGACAUGGAUUUGGUAAUAUUAAGAGUUAUGUUAGUAGGGUGUUGUGAAUCUAGAAAUACUUGUGUUGAAGUUAGUGAUUCCCGUAGGAUGCACGUAUGGUGAACCGCUAUGUUAGGAAGUUGGAGCAAAAUUGAUCUAUUGAUUGUCAUCCUUUGUGUUGCGGUCGGGAUCGCGCGAUGGUUAACACCUACCAACCCUUCCCCUAGGAGUAUGCGUUUAGCACUCUGUUUUGAUUACUAAUAAAAACUUUCACAACAAGUAUGUGAGUUCUUCAUGACUAAUGUGAGUCCAUGGUAUACAUGCACUUCCACCUUCCACCAUUGCUAGCCUCUCUAGUGCCGCGCAACUUUCGCUGGUAAAUAAACCAACCAUAUGCCUUCCUCAAAACAGCCACCAUACCUACCUACUAUGGCAUUUUCAUAUCCAUUCUGAGAUAUAUUGCCAUGCAACUCCCACCAUUCCGUCUCAUGACUUGUGUCGUCACUCUCAUAUUUCCAUUGCAUGAUCGUAGGAUAGCUAGAGAGAUGUUUCAACGUCAUACGCCAAGCUAGAUCUUUGCACAUCCCGGUACACUUCCAGAGGCAUUUCCUAUAGAGUCAUUUCUAAGCUUUGAGUUGUGAGUAAAUAAAAGUGUGAUGAUCAUCAUUAUUAGAGCUUUGUCCCAUGUGAGGAAAUAAAUAAAUAAAGGCCAAAGAGCCAAAUAAAAAAAGAGAAAAAAAGAGGCCUAAGAUCCCAAAUAAAUAAAUAAAAAUAUAUAUAAGAGAAAAAGAGAGAAGGGACAAUGCUACUAUCUUUUUCCACACUUGUGCUUCAUAAUAGCACCAUGUUCUUCAUGUUUGAGAGCUUCUCGUUUUGUCACUACCAUAUGCUAGUGGGAAUCUUCAUUAUAUAACUUGGCUUGUAUAUUCCAAUGAUGGGCUUCCUCAAAAUUGCCCUAGGUCUUCGUGGUCAAGCAAGUUGGAUGCACACCCACUAGUUCUCCUUUUGAGCUUUCACAUACUUAUAGCUCUAGUGCAUCCUUUGUAUGGAAAUCCCUACUCAUUCACAUUGAUAUCUAUUAAUGGGCAUCUCCAUAGCCUUUUGAUAUGCCGAGUCAAUGUGACCAUCUCCUCCUUUUUUUCUCACAACCACCACCACACUCUAUUCCACCUAUAGUGAUAUAUACAUGGCUCACGCUCAUGUAUUGCGUGAUAGUUAUAAAAAGCUUGAGAAAGUAAGAGUGUGAAAGCAAUUACUUGGCCAAUACCAGGAUUGUGCAUGAUUUACAUUAGUUGUGUGAGGAUGAUGGAGCAUAGCCAGACUAUAUGAUUUUUUAGGGAUAACUUUCUAUGGCCUUGUUAUUUUGAAAGUUCAUGAUUACCUUGCUAGUUUGCUUGAAGUAUUAUUGUUUUCAUGUCAAUAGCAAACUAUUGUUUUGAAUCUUACAGAUCUGAACAUUCAUGUCACAUGAAAGAAGUUGCAAAGGACAACUAUGCUAGGUAGCAUUCCACAUCAAAAAUUCAUUCUUUAUCACUUCCCUACUCGAGGACGAGCAGGAGUUAAGCUUGGGGAUGCUUGAUACGUCUCCAACGUAUCUAUAAUUUUUGAUGGUUUCAUGCUAUUAUCUGGUCAAACUUUGGAUUUUUUGUAUUCCUUUUAUAUAUUUUUUGGGACUAACUUAUUAACUCAGUGCCAAGUGCCAGUUCCUGUUUUUUCCAUGUUUUCGACCCCUUUCAGAGGAGUGUUUUAAAAGGAGUCCAAAUGGAACGAAACUGCCAAAAAGAUUUUUUCUGGAACAAAAAAAGAUCGGGAAGCCUGAGAAUCAGGGCAGGGGGCCACCAAUUACCCCACAAGCCCCCUAGCCGCGGCCAGGGGGGCCCGCGCUUCCCAGGUUUGUGGGCUCCCUGGGCCUCCUCUGCCCUAGGUCUAGCGCCUAUAAAUUCCCUAAAAUCCCAGAAAAAAUCAUGAGAUCAUCGAAAGUACUUUUCCACUGCCGCAAGCUUCUGUCUCCGCAAGAUCCCAUCUGGGGCAUGUUCUGGUGCCCUGCCGGAGGGGGGAUUCGGAUACGAAGGGCUUCUUCAUCAACACCAUGACCUCUCCAAUGAUGCGUGAGUAGUUCACCAUAGACCUACGGGUCCAUAGCUAUUAGCUAGAUGGCUUCUUCUCUCUCUUGGAUCUUCAAUACAAAGUUCUCCAUGAUCUUCAUGGAGAUCUAUCCGAUGUAAUCUUCUUUGCGGUGUGUUUGUGGAAAUCCGAUGAAUUGUGGAUUUAUGAUCAGAUUAUCUAUAAAUCUUAUUUGAGUUUCUUUUGAUCUCUCUUAUGCAUGAUUUCAUAUCCUUGUAAUUCUCUUCGAGUUGUGGGUUUUGUUUGGCCAACUAGAUCUAUGAUUCUUGCAAUGGGAUAAGUGGUUGGUUUUGGGUUCAUACCGUGCGGUGACCUCACCCAGUGACAGAAGGGGUAGCGAGCCACGCAUCGUGUUGUUUCCAUCAAGGGUAAAAAGAUGGGGUUUUCAUCAUUGGUUUGAGUUUAUCCCUCUACAUCAUGUCAUCUUGCUUAAGGCGUUACUCUGUUUGUCAUGAACACAAUACACUAGAUGCAUGCUGGAUAGCGGUCGAUGUGUGGAGUAAUAGUAGUAGAUGCAGAAAGUAUCGGUCUACUUGUCUCGGACGUGAUGCCUAUAUGUAUGAUCAUUGCCUUAGAUAUCGUCAUGACUUUGCACGGUUCUAUCAAUUGCUCGACAGUAAUUUGUUCACCCACCAUGAUAUUUGCUAUUUUGAGAGAAGCCUCUAGUGAACACUAUGGCCCCGGGGUCUACUCCACACCAUAUUUUAAGCCUUACUGUUUUUCUUCGUUGCACUUUCCGCCUUCAGAUCUCACUUUGCAAUCAAUCUUGAAGGGAUUGACAACCCCUUUACAGCGUUGGGGAUUGACAACCCCUUUAUAGCGUUGGGUGCAAGCUCUUUGUGUUUGUGCAUGUACUCUGGACUUGACGAGAUUCUCCUACUGGAUUGAUACCUUGGUUCUCAAACUGAGGGAAAUAUUUACUGCUCCUGUGCUGCAUCACCCUUUCCUCUUCAAGGGAAAAACCAACGCAAGCAAGUCCCCGUCAACGUGUCAAUUUCUGGCGCUGUUGUUGGAGAAGUAGAAGAAGCCAUGAGAGCAAGCAAAGGGACGGGGCCGCCAACUCGGUGAUGCAGCAACCCACCGGCAAAUCUGGUUCUAGGCCCACAACAGCCCAAGCCAUCCUUGAGACAUGCCCACAUGUGAGCGACCGGGAGGGAACCUCACUGCGCGCCUCGGUGAUGAUGGACUCCCGGAUCUGGCGAGCCGGCAGCAACUCCGGGACAGCACCCGCCAUCCCAUGUUUUGAGCUCCAUGAGAGCCGCUCAACCGAAAUCGACCCGGAGAAGGGCGUAUCCAGCCGAGGAGGCAUCUUUGGGGAGGGGAUGGUUGUGGGGUGGGUCUUGUGGGGAGGACAGUGGCGGCAUUGUCGGGUUGUCGUCUGGAGGAGGGCAAGACGUGGGAGGGGCUCCUUUUUUCUCAUGGCUAUGAUGCUUCGACUCCUGCAUCGGCAUCAUGGGUUGGGUCGACCUUCACAUACACGCAAAACCGAGCCCACACUGACAAAUUCCUAGUGGUUGGACGGUGGUAUGUGGAACUUGGAGUGUCUCAAUGGGGGUAUGGACACCCUGUUUUUCUGGCGGGAGCACGAGAUCCAUUCUCGAGAUAUCCUUGGCUUCAACCUGCCCUAGUCUGUGUUCCUGAUGACAGGCGCACAUGAUGGUUUUCCUGGUAUUGCCCCAAACUCGCUUCUCUCCCUUUCCCUAAUCCUUGCUCUGGUUCGGAGAAAACUUUGUAUUUCCGUUAUGCAUUAUAAUGGAAAGGGGGGAAGCCCGGUUCGAAAACCUGCCCUAGUCUCUCUUUGUGGGAAAGGAUCUCUAGGUCCCGGGGGUCAGUCUUCUGUUUAUCUAGUCGUUCAUCCACACUGGCCAACUUGUUGAUAUGUGUUUGUCCUGCAGGGCUAAUGGACUCACAAGCAUAUACGCCAGUAAACAAGGCAGUAGUAAAAUAUUUGCAAUUGUAAAUCAGAGCCUGCUCUGCCUACUUGUCACACCGCUCGUUCACUAUUACUCUAUUCUGUCAGACGAGGGUUGCCGCCGUGUCCCGUCACUUUUUAUCAAGUGAACAACAAAAAGUUCAUCCAGUUCCAUCUAGGUGGACAAGUCCAGACCAGGAACAGUUGUGCUAGGUACAAAGAGGGAACAACAAUAGGAGGAGAGACAGUGGUCCUGUUUGGAUACUCUAACUCGGUUAGAGGUUAUAGUUAGAUUCUAACUCUAGACUAACCCUGAACUAACUCUAACCAAAGAGGUGUUUGGAUGGAAGGGUUAGAUUGCCAAUAAAUAUACUUUUUCCAAUCAUUUAGCUCCUUUAUCUAGGAUUUAGUGUGGUGGAGGGAUGGAGAAAAGUAACUUUUUCUGGGCCCCACCUAACUCUAACCCAAAAAAGCACCUCUUGGGUGGGUUAGAUUUUUUGGGUGGGUUAGAUGCAUUUAACCAACUCUAACCCACCUGUUUGGAUUUUUGAGGGUUAGAUGAGUUCAAUCUAACCAACUCUAACUCUAACCCUAGGAUCCAAAUAGGGCCUGUAUGCAGCCUGCAAAAUUUGCAAGUUGAAUGCAAAAGUCAAGAGAGAGAGAGAGAGAACUGGCUCAUGCCAAGCUUUUUAAGGAGAUUUUUAGGAGGUGUUUCCAUAAGAUACUCAUAUAUUUUACUAAAUGGACUUUCAAACCUAUAUGAACUGGCCCAUCUCCAACUAUCUCAUGCCCGCUGCUGCAAGGUAUUGUACCAUCGUCUCCCCCUCUCCGUUAAUUAAUAAUUAAUUACUAGAAGGGUUGGACGCGGUUUGCUACCUCAUCGAAUUUUUUGGGAUUCUUAAAAAAAUUACUCGUCCUAUUUUAAAAUAUGCAAUGUGUUACUUUUUUGAAAAGUCAACCCUUUUUAAGUUUCAUCAAAUUUUAAAGAAAUAUAUUAAAAUUCAUAAUACAAAAUCGGUGUUAUUGGAUUCAUCAUGAUUUUUUUUAGUAUUGUGGAUAUCAAAAUUUUGAAACAGAUGGGAUUUUAGUUUGGCCACUGGGGCAGGUGAUGCAGUGUGUUUUAUGCUUAUUUAUAUUGUGGUUAUUUUGUGGGCCUUUCACAAUGUGAUUUUAGGAAUAUUUUAGCAUCGAUGGUUGCAUGUAUUAUAUUCGUGCUAUAGUACCACAAGGUGGCACUUUUUCCUGGGUGAUGGAAGUCUUGGAGGGGUUGAUAUAUUUUUUGGGCCGGUUGCUGAUUGAUUUGAAAACUCGUUGUCCUCAUCAAAAUCGCAAACCAAAUCCAAAAUUAAGUACCUCAGUCGAAUAAAAGAGCUUUAAUUAGCAAACAUAUAAAAUUAAAAUAAUACAAUGGAGAGCUCCUUGAGAAAUUUGUAGACCCGAUCACACUCGGAUGACUCUGUUUUAAAUUGAAACCUCAAUUAAUUAUGAGGACUUAAAAAUUAGAAAGCGUAGUGUAUUGUAGAAAAAAUGAAUGAAAGGGUUUUUAGGAAGUGUUAACCCGAUCAAGAUUGGGCACCUCAAUAGAUUGUGAGGCCUCCAAUCGUAGGGGGCUUAGUGAUAUAGUAUAUAACAUACGUUGGUUGAUCAUUAUACCUUGCUCAAAUUCAUUUGAGAUCAAUGUAGUUUUAUCAUCUGACACCAAUCGAUAUGUUGGUUAAUUAAGUAUAACUUCAUACUAUAUGACUUGAAAACCAACUGAUGCCUUUAACUUGGUGACAACAAGAUUCCCUUCCUAUUAAAAAAAUAUUUUUCUUAACAUGAAUGGUUGUUCAAUCAGAACUAGAAUUUGUUGUUGUAUACUCUUGUGGCUUUGUUAGUUGUGGUUUUGUUUUAAAAGUGAAGGGUGAGGAUCUAUUUUAACACCAAAAUAUUUUUCUUUUGUUCUGCCGUUUCGAAGGAGAAGGAGAAUAUGAAACGGCGAGCGUCGGUGUCUUUGGAAUCCUCUCACAAGAAGGCACAUGAUAUCGCUAACCCAGCAAGAGGGGGAGAGGGUGAUGUCGGGGAUGCAAUGGACUUCUCAGAGUAGGUGGUUUGUUUCGGUACGAGUGCCUCUUCCGGCUUUGAGAUGACCGACCCUCUCCAUUAUAAAUUUUUUGCUCUCACAAAUUUCAAACCAUGCCAUCCCACCAUCGGAUAAGUUAGUACUCCUUCCGUCCGGAAAUACUUGUCCUAAAAAUGUAUAAAAUGGAUGUAUCUAUAACUAAAAUAAGUCUAGAUACAUCUACUUCUAGGACAAGUAUUUCUGGACGGAGGGAGUAUGAAUUAGAAUUUUAUUUACUAAUCUUAUGAUAGAGGCUAGUUUAGGAGACGAUUACCAAUGUCUAGAGAUCCCUUCAGAUCCCUGUUAAUUUGCUUACUAUCAUUAUUGUCUUCUACAAGCUAGCUAGUACAAAGAUGAUGUCCAUGCAUGGUUUCUAAUCCCCUCCCUAUUUGUUGUGUUUACUUUGUAUUAUUAAGGUUAUUAUGAAUGUCUCUAUUGCAUUUUGACCUUACUUAUUAGGUUUAAUUGGAUGAAUGCCACUCGAAUUCUAGCGAUUCUGAGAAACAACACUAAAUUUCCAAACUUAAAAAAUGCCACUGCAAAUUAUGUGAACUUUGAAAAACUCCAUUGUAGUGUUUGAAAAAUGCCACUUGAAAAGGUUGGGGCACUUGUCUAUGUGGAUCGAUAGUGAUAAGGACACCAUGCAAAAUGUCAUCUUGUCAACACGAAUGUCUGAUUAUGUUACUACAAAGUCAUUCACACAUCAUACAUACUGGUCACUUUCAAGCAACUUCAAAACGGAUCUUCUUCAAUUAUAUGUACAUGAGAUAUGGCACAAGUUUUGGGUUUCCUUCACAUGGGGCAAUUCGUUUCUCGGUCUUACUCGGGUUGAGUGGUGAAUGGGGUCACGAUUUCAAGGGCUCGAGCCAUUCACACGCGUAUAUGCGACGUUGAUGUUUCAAUCUUAUACUAAAAGUAUCUGAUGAAACCUCAACGAUGAUCUGCGAGUUUUUGUGGGGGGCGAUGAGCACAAGAUGCACUUGCUCUCUCAUGAGGGAAAUCUUGCCAAAACGAGAGAGGGAUGUGGUGAUUUGUAUUUGACGGGGGACCUUUACAACUUCAAUAUUACCAAAAUUCUUGCAUGCAUAAUCUUGGUGAAUUCUAGAGACACCUAAACUCCAAAGUGUUAAAAAACUCCAUUUACAAGCGAUGGGUGUUAGAAUUUAUUGUAUAUUUUCUUUUCCAAUGAAUUAACGUAAUACCUGGUGCACUUAUAUAUAUGAGAACAAAACAGAAGAGAUGCAAUGCAUAAUAACUUUACAAUACAAUAAUACAAUGACAAUAGUUUCCACCAUUCAUCAACAUGAUCUAAAUUGUGUAAUAAAGAGAAAAGAGACAAUAACAACUUCAUGCUCUAGAUUAUAAGUUACACCCCACAACAACACUCCUUUCUUCUUUUGUCUGCUGAAGGUUAGUCAAACUCUGCUACUUCCCAUGGCAUCGAAGCGAAUUCGUUCCUCUCAAUCUUUCCCCCGUCAAAGAAGGCUGCAUGCACUAUGUGUCCGCCAAAAUAGCGGCCUACUAGUUGGAUCAACACCCUGGUCGACUAUUUUGUCUACUCGAACACCACAAAGUUAUUGCGGCGAACAAUACAUGUCUUUUAAUAUUUUCCCACCUCAGAAUAUAUCCACUUUAUUUGGUCACUUGUCAGGUGGGGUUUAGCCUAUUACAACAACAUAAAUUUUUGUGGAGUAUGUGCAUUACUUGGGCUAUCCGAUACUAUCAGAAUGAUGUUUUAUUAAACAUGACAAUUGUCACAAACUUUUUGCGGGUUAUAUACGAGGUGUCUAGAUAGAUUCAUACAUAUUCAAUAUUACACCUACGAAAGGGAGGGAGAUUUUGGCCUUUGGUUGCAACAGAUGGGUCUAUAACAUGGGCUACAUAUGACUGGUUUGGAUGCGAGUCCAACAUUAGGAUAUGUGUUCAGGCAUUGCAUCCUAUUUUUCCCGUUUGUGGCUAGUUGGUUUCAUAUUUUGUUUUGUGUUCAUACUUUGAUACUAUGUUUGUUUAAAUAAAUAGGUUCAUGCAUCGCUUGAUGCGAAGGCCGGGGUAUUCCUCCUUUUCAAAAAGGAAAUAUGUAGAGCUCAUUCCCACAUCAUCUCAACAACACAUUUAAUUAAAUGUUAUGUUCCGAAUGCAUACAUUUCAACGGAAUUUCAAAUAUGAAUAUGUGAAAUUCAAUUCAAGACAGACAAGUUAACAGAUCGUACCGAAAGCAAUAGUGCAGUUCAUAUGGUAGAAAUAACAUAAAGCAAAGUUCAUCUAAAAGAACCUAGAGGCAACAUUGAGAAUAGAUCAAUCACCCGCAUUACUACUUCCAGUUCCCAUGUACAUUUGAUCUUGAGGUUGAUGAUUGUUUUGGUCCUCAUAAGAUCUCACGAUGAGCUUUCUCCCAAUAUUGUUUUGUGUCUCAAGCAGUAUUGAAGCAUUCGUGAGCAUGAGUGCUAGCUCUCGCUCCUUACUCUUCUUCUUCCCCGUCAUGGCAGCGAUCCUCAAUCUCUCCUCCUUGAGGGCAAUUUUCUUUUCCUCGGCCCCAACAAUAGGAUCUGGGAAAUAACACCAUGGGGCAAGUAAGUUUACAUGGGAUGUUGCACUACCAUGGUUGGGAAGCGACGGACUUUCCAAUAGAAAAGGAUGAUUGGUUUGCGAGUUUGAAAAAUCCUCAUACCUGUUUUCAUAUAGCAAUCCAUCUCCAGGAAGUUCAUUAGAUACUGGUACAAACUGACUACCAACAUUUGGAGUCUUGUAUCCAAAAUGAAAUGUUGAAUCUUGAGUUGUAUUGGUCAAAUUUACUGCAAAAUUAGGGAAACCCCGAGCUUGUAAAUAGAAACAAUAAUGCUCUUGCGUUAAGAACACAUUUUUCUUUAGAUUUCCAUUAGUGGAAGUUAAUUACCUUCAUCCUUGUGUGUAGUUUUAGCAAAUGAUUCACCUCUGGUCUUGCAAACUACAAGAUCAUUACCCAUAAAACGCAUUGUUUGUUGUGUAGAAGGACUACCCUCUUGCAAGUUCAACUUAGAGCCACCAUGAUUCAUAUUGGUGGAGAAGCACCUCUUAUUCAUGGUUUCUUUAACUAAAACAUUACUGCAACCAUGAUCAAUCUUACUGAGUUCGCUUAAACUCAAUGUAGGAAUAACAACAUUAGUGUGAGGAACUUUGAUUGCCUCAUCAUGCAAACAUGUGCCUAUUGAACUUGAAUUCAUUGCAUUUUCCAAGUCAGCAGCUAGUGGUUGGCUCCAGUUUUCUCUGCAUCAAGAUCACCAUGAUUUAGAGUUUCAGUGGUCACAAGAAAAUAAUUUAGUAUCAUCACAUGUAUGCUCAGUAUUGGGAUCUUGAAAUUUCAAACAUACCUGUAGUCAAAACCAGUCCAUUCUGGUAAUGCAAUACUUAGAUCAAUCAUAGCAGACAUCUCUUCGUUACUAGGCUUGGUAGAGUACUCAUGAUCACAAUGCUUAUUUGCUUCUUCAGUCUUAGUGAAGGCUUCCUUGGGAAUAUUAGUAGUACUUCUACCGGUCAUCAUGCAUUUGUCUUCUUCUAUAGACCCAUAUGAUGAGGAAGAAGAAGCCAUAGCAUCCAAGGAGAGCUUACCAAGACUUCCUUGUUUGGAUAGCUCAUGUCUUGGCAUCUUAGUGCAAAUUACACCAUUUCCUUCCGAGACUUUGACACGCUUUACUAAGUUGUGGUAGAGUUCUGUUACUUCUUUGUAUUUUGAAUUGACAUGCUUCUCCUUGGCAAGUUUCAUAGAUGUGUGCUUCGUGUACUUUAGAAUACCACGUCGAGGUAGAUAUUUUCCCAGAUCUCUUGGUUUUCCCACUUUGUCUGAUUUAUCAUUGUUAAUAAAAUUUUGUGCAUCCACCUUCUUCUUCUUAGUAUUAUUCAUCUUCCCCUGCUUCCUUUUCCUAGAUAUGGUUUCUCUCUCUUUCCUCUGAUGUUGUAAAGACUCAUUUUUCUCUGAUGGAUGAGUAUCUAGUUCAUUAGGAAAUAUUGGAUUUUCAAGUACUUCCUACAAAAUUGACUAACACUAUUAAGAUACAUAUAAUUGCGGGUACCAAAAAUUAAUGUAAAAAACGAACAUCAAACAUCACAUUUUCCACAUGUAUACCAUUUAAAAAUAAAUCAUCAUCACGAAAUGGAAAGUUCUCUAAUGUGUAAUUUUUGCUAUUCUUGAAACAAAGCAUCAUAUUCCAAUUUUUUCCAACAGUUGAAUGGGAACCGGGAGAAUAAAUUCCUUGAAGCUAAGGGGAUGCCUACAACUAAUGCCUAAAUCAAGGCAUAUGUCGAGAAGUUUAAUUACUAAUAGAUUCGGUAGAGGAAGGCCCGAAUCGGGCUGAGAUACUGCAUGAAAUAGAAGAGGACGACUAGAGUAGAGGACCUAAUUCCAAUCCAAUUAAUUGAUGAGGAGAGUAAUAUUUUUUCGUUCUUGAUUAUUUCAUUUGCACUUCCUUCGUUUAUGGGUUUCUUUGGACGUGUGAUACUUAUGUCACUUGGAGUGUGUGUAGCGAUAAUAUUUGAGUAAACAUAGUCAUUGUGUGGAUAGUCAAAUGUGACAUAGAUAUUGCAAGGCAUCUAUGUAUUUUUUUUAGUUGGAACUCAGAGUGCAGAUCAAAAUCAAAAACAUUGAGGUGCUUCUUGAUGAUAUUUCCCAAUAAAUAAAAAUUAGUUUAACUAAAAAAUCUAGACAGUUAUCUUUCUUGGGCACUAAUAAUACAUUGAUGUAUGUGUUGCGAUAGACUAGACAUUAUCUAGCUAAUAAAAUUUCAUACAUGUGGAGCAAAACAGAAUAGAAUGCGAGAUUCCCUGAGAAACUUCACGGGCCUAUGUGACGUGUGAUAAUCCCUUGGUCCAGUAUUAGAGAUUGACAUGGAUCAUAUUGGAAAUGAUGGGGUUAUUAGGUUUGUAGUGGGAGUUAGAGAUAUUCAAAUAUUCAUGGGUUUAUUGGGAUUGCUAACAACUAGUUGCUUUUAUAUGACAUUGGAUUUGAAGAGGAGUAAGUGAUGUAGAAAUGAAGGUACAGGGGAAUAGAUGAUAUGAAGAGGCAAGUGCGAAAUAUCUUAAUGUGGAAAAUGUGGUGGUUGUUACGAACGAUGAUGGAGCAGAAAUAGUGGAAAUAGUGAGGUUUUGCAAACAUGGCUUCUAUUGGGGAGCACGUCCUUGAAAUGGUAUGAAGAGGUGCUAAAAGGUAGACAUACAACUAGUAAUAUUAAUAUUUUCAACAAUAACACACUUAAUGAAAUGGAGAGUUCUAGUAUGAAUGUAAAUGGAUAAUUUUAACCCAAAUUCUGAAAAGAUAAAGAUGUUGUUGCUAGACAUGAAUCACAGCCUGAUUUGGAGUGAAACAAAAUCCCACCAAACGGAAACCAUAAAGAAAUGCAUACAGUUCAAAGUUCACGGACAACGCGAGAAGUUAGAGCAAGCUCUCAGGAGCUCUAUUGAAUGAUUUAUUAAUGUUGAAUGGUUUGGUAGUUAGACUAAACCAAAUAAAAAUGAUGAUGAGAUAAAUGAUGAUUUAGUUGAUUAUGGUAGUGAGAAAAUAUAUUAUGUGAAUAUCGAUGAGUGUGUUGAUUCUUUUUCUAUAAAAGUCAAAACAAGAUGUACAUGGAGAACUAAUACUAGAAAAAUGUGUAGAUGAGAACCUUAAACGUGUGACAGAAUCGAGGUUUAAGAAGAUACUCUGGUUGAUAUUGUCCGUGAUAUGAGAAAUUUGUUUAAUUGAAAUAGAGCCCAUAUCACAUCCCAUGUUGGCAUCAAUCUUGGAUACUCCUUUAAAAUGGUAGAACAUAAUAUUAACAUAUCAAAUCAUCCAAAUACACUAGACUUGAUCCGAUGAUGCAACUAAAUAAACCUUAUAGUGUACCUUCUCAUGAAAUUCCAACUCUUUUUAAAUUAAUACUAGAGAAAAUGGUUUUGUUUAAUUACUUUGUAAUGGAGAGGAUAGUGACAUGGGUGGAGGAGAAACUCAUAGGGAACAAAUAAAAAAUUAUUUUCUAGAUAAGAAUAAUAGGAAACAUCUAAUACCAACCAACUUUUAUCGGAAAUAUGAGAUUUCCAUUUAAAAGUCUUAUUAAAAAAAUAAAAAACGAAAAUGGAACAUAUGUUAUAGAAUAUUAGAGGACUUUGUCACGAGGCAAAAAUUAGAUUUCCUAGAAAUUUAGUUGUGGAUAAACACAUUGUAUUUCCUACGCCUAAAUGAAACAAGGGGGGAAACACUUUCUAAAACUAACCUUCACAAGAUUUGCGUUUGCUGAGAUUUUUAUUAUCAUAGAAUCUAUCUAGUGGUAUGUCACUAGGCACUAUUGAGACUGUUAACAAAUUAGAUAUUCAAUAUGACCCCUAUUACAUAAAAAAUAACUAUUUACACCAAAAACGAGAUACAAUGGAAGUUUAUGGAGAUGCUCGGUUAGAGGCAGAGCUUCUUACUUAGCAGAAUUGUCUAGAGUCCUACAUGACUAUGAAGAUGCCUUUAUGGUUGCUGAAGAUUUUGAUAUUUUUCAUGAAUAUUUCUAGGAUAUAGAAACAAGAUAACCCAACCACUAGAGCUUUAUUUCUGUGCAAUUAAUAAGAACAAUUCCUUAGGGAACUAAAGUCUAAUGGAAGGCUUUAUACUUGUGCAACAAUUUACAAGAACCCACUUUUAAAAAUUGGAUAGGAUCAUGUUUUGCCAUUAUUGGGAACAAAUAUAUCAUUUGUUUAGAACAAAAGAUGAAAUUUAAUGUCUUCAAAGAGCUAAACAAAAUUAGAAUUUUGAGGGUGGUAGAAACAUCAGAUAUUUCCAUGCUAAAGCAAGUGGUAGGCAUUGAAAAAGUAUAAUCACUUCUCUUGAUCUAAGGACGGAAACGUUGAGGGGAAGAAAUAACACCUUGAUUAUAAACUAAGUACUAUGAGAACCUUUCGGCCAUCCAGAUAGGAAAACAUAACGUUGGAUGUGCCUAGAGAAGCAAUUAACUAGAGUUUGUUCAAUGAAUGAACUUAAGACUGUUAUUUCUGAAUCACACAUGAUAAGUCAUGUAGUCGUGCUUGUUUACCACAAGAACCCUCUCAUAAGAUUUGGAAUUUAAUUGUGUUAGAAUUGGAAGCUUUACUUAACUCUUUAUAGUGGGCAUUUAGAUUAGUCUGGGCUUAGUAAUGGUCUUGUUACUUUGGUCCCCAAUGUAAGGAGGAAAAACAAAUUCAAAAUCUUAGACCUAUAUGUUUUCUCAAUGUGAGAUUCCAACUUUAUACAUAAGUUUAGGGAAUAUUUUGUAUCUUGCUUUGUGUUGUGGGCUCCCCCACAUAACCUAUGUAUAAGUUAGAGGAGGAUUAACUUUAAAUGAUACUCAAAAUACCAUUCAUACUAUAAAUAAAAUGGCGUCAUCCUUAAUAUUGAUUUUGAACAAGGUUGCGCCAAAAUAAAAUAUAUAUUUUUAAACUAUCAAAGUAUGAUUAAUUUUUUCUAUUAAAUUUUGUGAGUAAUUGAUCCAAAUUAUGAGUGGAAUACAUGUGGGGAUUAAAAUGAAUGGUCGUAUAGGUCCCUACUUUAAUAUUUUAGAUCGUAAGGGGUUCGACAAGGAGAUUCCUUAUCUCCGAGGUUGUUUGAUUUGGCCACUAAUCCCUAUCUUUAUUGAUGAAAAAUGUUAUGGAUACUAAUAUUAUAAAGUUUUUAUGGUAGAAUAUAGUGAUGGUGGUGUCAAUAUGUUGCAACAUAUUGAUGAUACUAUAUUUUUAUUACAAGAAGAUUAUGUGAGUGCACAUAACUAGAAAUUCAUACUUUGUUCUUUUGAAGAAAUGUUUGGUUUGAAAAAUAAUUUCCAUAAAAUGUGAUUUUUCUUUUUUUAACAUUCUACAUAAAAAACUGGGCACUAUAAAAAUAUUUACUUUUCGUGUUGUUGAUUGGCCAAUACAAGUUUGGGAAUACUUUUUCUGUGUGCUGGAUUUGGGAAUCCUUGCCGAUAUCAAAAGGAUAUGAAGGAAAACUUCAGAAAUGCUGAAGAUACAAUAGAAAGAGAUGUAAUAGUUGGUAAAGAAAACUUUAUCUAUAGGUGGUAGGUUUUAUAAGUUCAAUCUUGUAUCUCUAGCAUAACAACUUUCAUGAUGUUCUUCUAUGAUCUUCCUAUGCACCUAUGAAAAUGAACUAUUUCUUUAAGCUAGUCUCAUUUGGAAGGAAAAUGUUCCUAAAAAGGAAAAGGCAAGAGGAAAAACCGUCUCCUCAAUCACAAGCAUGCCUAUCAUUACACUAAUCACCCCUCCUCACUCCGAUCUCACCCACGAUGACAAGUGACACGAAAACGAUUGAACAAGGCCAUGUGUUAUUGGAAGAUGGGCCAACCCAGCUAGGAAACAAUGUCCAAUUGUUGAAAGUGUGGCCGCAAACACUCACCACAGUAAUUAGCAACUAGGGCCCUCUAUUUACUUAGACCUUGGAUAUUUUAAAGAGUUAUCGGUUCAUGUAAACAAUGAGAGGAGGACAUGUGGGAAUUAACAUGAAUGAUUGUAUAGGUCCCUACUUUAAUACUUUUAGAGGGUUGAGAUGAGAAUAAUACUUGCGCCCUAAUUCUUUGAUUUGGUUUUUGGUGCCCUAUAUUUAUUGAUGAAAAAUGCUCAGGGUAAUAAUACCAUUAAAGGUCCUAUUGUAGAAUAUACCAAGGGUUGGUAUCAAUAUACUACAAUAUGUUGAUGAUGUUAUAGUUUUAUAAAAAAACAUGGUUAUAUGAAUACACAUAAUUUGAAAUUAAUCUAUUCUACUUUCGAACAAAUGUUUGGAUUUGUAAAUUAAUUUCCAUAAAAGUGAACUUUUUUCCUUUUUGGAAACGCUAGACAUAAACUAAGCAUUAUAAAAGAUUUGUACUUGCUCUGCUAAUGAUUUGACAAUCAGCUAUUUGGGCAUCCUUUUUAUUUGUGUUGUAUUUGAGAAUCCUUGUUGAUGCCAAAAGGAUACAAAACAAAACAUGGGAAAAUUUGGAAGAGAAGAUAGAAAAGAGAUACGGUGAUUGAUAAGGAAGACUUGUAAUUAUAGAUGGAAGACUUUUUUGAUUAAGGAUUGCCUCUCUAAUGUGAUAGAUUUUAUGAUUGCCUUUAUAAGGAAAAGGAUGAAUUUCUUUAGGAUACUCCCCUUUGGCAAGGAAAUUUUGAUAAAUAGAAAAGGGCAAGACGAGAAUUGUCACCUCAGCCACAUUCAUGACUGCCAUGACACUGAUCAAUCCUCUACAUUCGUAGCUCACCCAUAAUAACUUGUGAUACGGAAGAUGCUAAACGCAAGCGCAUUUCUCGCAAGUGGGCCAAGCCAGCUAAGGUACAAUGUACAUUUGCUGAUAGUGUGGUCCCACACUCUCAUAUUACUAGUAGGUGGACAACUCACCUAGGAAACAAUGAACACCACUGACAACAUGGUACGACACGCUCACCACAAACAUGAUUAGAGAGCUCUAUUUCUAGGACCUUUAAGAUUGUAAAGGUGAUAUAGCGCUAGUUGGCCUCUCUCGAAUACAACCAUUAUUGUUUAUAAGACAUCAUAAUAUAGUCUAUGAUUAUUGGUUAUUAGUAUUAGUUAAGUGUAUGAGUAGCAUCUAUUGUAGGUUAGCAAGUUCCAUGAAAUAUGCAUAGAUUCUCUAGUGAAUGUACCAUGCCAAUCCUUACACUAAUCCUGAGAGGUCACCAUGGACAAUUUAAGCAUGAAUCUACAAUACAUACACAUAACAAAUAAUAUCAUGGUAGAAAAUAUAAUGAUGCCCCAGAAAAAAACACAAUGGUUAUCCUAACUAGAACCUAACACAAGCUCAUACAACUUUAACCAUAAAGUCAUCAUGGACAUGAGAGCAAUUAUCGACCCAUAUAACAUUGUUCAUGAAUUAGUAAGCCUGGAUCAGCAUAGCAACUAAGUUGGGCCGGGUACGCACAAUCCUUACAUAAAAAAUUCUAUAAGGGUGAGACGACCGCCAUGUCAAGCAACAACUAACCCCACCCCCCCCCCCCAUCGGAAAAUAUGCGUGCACCAAUUGUUCAUCUUAUGGAGAUGAAAAUUUGACUAGUUAUACCAUCCAUCCCAAGAAGGUGAAAAGUAAAAUAAAAUUAAGAUAAAAACGUAUGAAUGAUUACAUGGAAAGAUUGGUAGGGUUGGGAUGGAAUGUGGUGGAUCUCGUACCUUUAUUGCCGAGAAAUUUCCCUUGUGCACUUGCCCUCUACUACCCUCGAGUGUGGCAGUCGAUGCCGCCUGCACCUCCUGUAGUCUUUUCUUUCGCUUCUUGUCUUCUUUGACCCGACUCAUGAUCAUACACAGAGCCUCAUCUCCGUCCACCUCUAUUUUCUCAUUGCAUUCAGUAUCACCGGUGGGGGGGGGAUUUCAAGUAUGGUUCCGUGGAGCACAUGUCAGACAUGGAUCUCUUAUUUUGUGGAUUUUCCCUCUCUCGUGCCCUCACGGGCGCAGCCCCCACGACAGCAACAGUAGCCAUGGCGGAGGCGAGCUCGUCUUCCCACCACGAGGACCUCGGAGACUUCAUAGGCGACAGAUCUGGAAUUACCAAAGGACAUCGCCCUUCCACGGUUGCCUCACCCCUCAUGCUCGCCACAUAACCCCUAUGGAUCAGAAACGGAGAUCAGAAAAAAGAACACAUAUUUCUAUAGAGAUAAUACAGGAUUUGCUUACACACCAACCUGAUGGAGAACGCAUUAGUGACCAUGGAGGCAACGUCGUCGUGGUCUAUUUGUGCAGAUCUAUCUCAAUUUCUAAACGAAGGGGGCUAGAAGAGGAGAGGACAUGAGGAAAGGGUGGGUGUGUGAAAGGAAAAGUCAUGACCUCUUGGUGAGAUUUUAAUAGCAUUCAAGGGCUUCCCCUUUCUCUUACCCAUUCUCGCCAUCGUAUAUUUGGAACCUAUUAAUUUCAAUAUUCAUAUUUAAUAUAAUGGCUGGAGUAUUUAUCACUAGGGAUAAUUGCCAAAUAUUUUCCCUUUGGUUCCUUGUGCUGGUGAUGUGGCAAUCUCAAUGCAUCAUGUGAUAAAAACUAUUAGUAUGUGUGAAAUGGUAGGCGCAAAAUGCAACCCCCACCCCACUCCAAGCAAACAUGUUAUCCAAACUUUUGGUUGUAGCUCUUAGAGCUAAAUUGGAAAAGUGGUUGAUAGUGUCGCUAAAGGAAAUGAUACGUCCAUGUAGUGCCCUCUUUGAGAGUUUUGCGUGAGUAGUGACAAAGCAGUUAAGGGACUGAUGUUUUUGUGAUUAUGUACAUGUAAAAGUCCGUGGGGAUUUGGAUUAACUAAGAGUUAUGACCCUUAAAAGGUUUGUGGGGCAAUUGAAGAAAUCAAAAUGUUCUCUAAAGAAUAAGAAAUUGUUGUUCUGACUUUUUUUUACUAUUUUACCAAUUCCUUCUCUUUGAGUCACAGGAUAAAAAGUAUUACUAAAUGGUGUUCAAGUGAAAGUUAGAUUCAAGUCUUUAGUGUGUGCUCAAUCCAACCUAUUUUUCUUGAGGGGGCAGACUUUGAAAACUCCUUUCCAACUGUGUUAUUUAGCACGAAUUUGUUUGAGGCAUUGGAGUUAAAUGUCCUCACUUAGGAGUUGGAUAUCUUUCCCUUCAAGUUGGUCCACAUGAGUCAUACGUCCUAAAUAUAUGUGCUUUUCCAAACACUUUUGCUAUUGUUUUGGUCUCUAAUUUGCAUGGUUUGAAUGAAACUAACAUGGGUUGACGUGUUUUCAGCAGAAUUACCAUGGUAUUGUUUUCAUGUGCAAAAAUAUAAAUUCUUGGAUCUGGAAUUUUUAUAUGGAGAACUAUUUGGAAUAGAUAAAAAAUAUGGGUGAAAAGAACUACUAGAGGGGGCCACCAGGGAGCCACUUGCUCAGGGGACGUCCCCUAGGGUGCGCCACGUGAGCUUUUGGGCACCACAAGCCUCCGGUUGACCUAAUUCAACCUAUACAUAUACCGUCUUCCUGAGAGAAAAAAUCAGCGAGAAAGUUUCAUUGCAUUUUAUCAUACACAGGCACGACCACCUCCUGUUCUCUUCAAGAGGUCAUAUCUGCAGUCUGUUCAGGUGUAUAGAGAGGGAAAAUCAUCAUUGUCGUCAUCAACAACCAUUGUUCCUCAACAACAUCAUGAUGCUCACCACUGGAAGUAAUCUCAUUGUAGGCAUACUGGAGGAAGAUGGAUAUGUAUGGAAUUCAUUAUGUAAUCGAGUAAUUUUGUUAGGGCUUAAUCCCUAGUAUCCACUACUUUCUGAUAUUCAUGUUACUAUGACUUUGCUAUGCUUAAUGCUUGUCACUAGGACCCAAGUGCAAUGAUUUCAUAUAUGAACCUAUUAUGUUUUCAUGAAUAUAUGUGAGUUCUAAAUCCUUUCUUGCAAGCUAUAUACACAUAUUAACCAUAGACCCCAAGGUGGCAAAAACUGGGACAUUCUUCGAGGUGAUCGUAAUUUGAGGAGUUCAUGUAUUCACAAUGUGUUAAGGCUUUGUUUCGGUUCUCUAUUAAAAAGAGUGCCUUAAUUACCCUUAGUUUUGACCAAGAACCCACUUCCACGGGAGGUGAUGGCUCGAGAUUUGUGAUAUUUUUUGAGUAAUUCCCAUUUGGUAUUCACCGGAUCUUUAUUACUUCUAAGUUGUUUCUAAUGAUAAUCCUUCAAAAUAGAAGAAAAUAUGUUUUUCCAUUGUUUAGCGGGAAAUAUCAAAUAUGGAAUGUGUCGGUGCAGAUGUGCAGUCGAUCACCUAUGGGAACUUUGUCCCCUUGUGGUUCGGUGGGGAGGUCGUGUGGCACAAAGAGCAAAAACUACGAGGCGGCAUGAUGAUGAGACUCAUGUGUUUUUACCCAGGUUUGGGCUGCUGUUAAACGUAAAAACCUACUCCUACUUUGGUGGAUUGAUUGAGGAAGAUGAAGUUCGCACAGAGUUCUGCCCCGGCAAGGGUUGUCGUGGAGAGCUAUCACGUACGUACAAGUAUACUUGGUUCUAAUCCUCUCGGGAUCCGAAACUACCUAGUGUAGAAUCUCCAAGUGUCUGAAUCCUUUGCUAGGCUGCCUCGGGCCUCCUUCUAUAGCUCAAGGGGCGUCAACAGUGGAAAAUAGUCAUGAUCGGAUGGCUAACAGUGCUAUCAUACCUAACUCUCGUACUUAAGACAAAACGCCAUAAAUGCGGCCUUAGGUGGCGAGCGGGGGUGCGUUACCGGCAAGCUCCUGCCACCCAUGAGUUUGCAGUGGCUUGGGGUCUUGACACCCGUCUGGACGGGUCUCAACAGGUCGUAAUUUGUCUUCCCCCGCGCCGCCACGUAUUUAGCGAGAGCCACCUAGCCUUAUGGGAGCUCGACACCUCAUCAAUAAGUGACUGUUGUAGCAAUGAGGUGGAGCGGUGGCAGGUUGGCCCGUAUUUGCCGAGGAGGCGCCUUGCCAGGUGUUGGUGAGGAUGCUUGUGCCUUCGCCCCUAGCAGGUGCUGAGGGUUCAUGGCAUGUCUUGGGCUAUUUGCGUUGGUCUUGCCGGCAUAUGGUUCCAGCUCUUCGCUUGGGUUGGUGGUUGCUCUUGAGGGGUUAUGCUCUCAAUGCAUGUGCAAAAGUUAGGGGCACUAGGUACCCCAUUACUAGUGCACCGACAAGAGCCCCCGGGCCUGGCCCAUACGCGCUCGCCUAGCCCAAAGUUUGUGCACGGGCGUGAAACCAACCCACUAUUCCGCACUGUCCCACCAGUUCAGGUCGUUUGCACGAGUCGCAUACAUAGCGCGAAUCUCGCGGUGGGUGCAUGAGGUUUAAAGGCCUCGUCGUGGCAGAAGUCGCAGCGUCGUGGAUUGGAUUGAUGGGAUGGUUACUUGUUCGCCCGUGAUGGCGGGCAACGGCAUAGGUCGAGAUGGGCGGCGACCCUUGGAGUGUAGGAGAGCCAUCCCCCCGCGCCCUCCCUAUAAAAGCGGGAGGGGUGCGGUAGACGAUACUCAUCCAUCCUUCUCCUCUUCUCCAACCCAUAGUUUCCCGGUUUGUUCUUCUCUUCUCAUCCUUUGAGUUGGUUUCGGUUCUUGGCCAUGGUGGGGAAGCAUGGGCGUCCCCCAUCCUUUGUGGGGGGUAGCAAGAGCUUCCCGUUCAGAUCAUGCACCACUUCAGUCGUGGUGAAUGAGGGCAACAUCAGUGCUCGAGGUGGGGGUGCUGGAAGGGCCCGGGGCCGCCAAGGAGCUCGUGGUCAAAGGGGGCGGAGCGUUCUUCCCGACCCUCCUCCGAUGACUCUGGCGCUGCCAUUGCCCUGACACACCGAAGGAACGAUGCUGGAGUUCCUCAUCAGGCUGCGCGGCCCUCCUCAUGGUCGUUUGCGCCUCUGAUGACGAGUUGAUGGAACUAUACUCCUCGCCCCUCGUUGGUUACCCCAAGUGGAAGGUUGAGAUGUAGUGAGCAACAUAUUUCCCUUACACGGGGAAUGUAAGGUUUAUCGAACCAGGAGGACUCCAAGGAUCAACAAGUACGUGUUUGCUGCUCUCGCGCUAGCAGAAGUCGUGGACCUGCACACACAACAAAUAACUAUGCUCCCAACGAGUUUGGAGAGGUUGUCAAUCUCUCCGGCCUUGUCGUUUGCAAAGGAUCAAACACAAGCGGGAAUAGCGAUGGUGAUUGCAACAGAAAAGGAAAUAAAAGCAGUAAAUUGGGGAGGAGUAAACAGUGGUGGACAUAUGGACCAGAGUCCCAUGAUGUUCACUAGUGAUGUCUCUCUCCCAAAAGACGAUAAACAACUAUGUUGGGUAAACAAAUUACAGCUGGGCAAUUGAGCGAAUUAUAAAUGCACCACAAUGCUAAUCAUGUUACAAGAAAGUUAGAGGCUCAUACGUAUGGGCAGUACGCCAAGACAAGUAAACCGUUUAUCCAUCAGCAUCUACUCACUAAUCAUCCACCUUGAGAUAUCUAUCCAGAACCACUACAAGAAAUAUGUCAACUAACGACCUUCAAUAUUGGUCCCCGAAUGGUCAUUGAUUUCCAUUUGCGACCUUUUUACGACCAAAAACAAACGGUCAAGGGUCUCUAAUGAACUAUAACGACCUUUUUGCUGGAUUGGUCGUAGGAUUUUACGACCAAACAAAAGCAUUGAAAUUAUUUUGGUCACUAGCAAUCUGUCCACGCCACGUCGGAUCUGACGUGGCAUAGAAUCAGCCCGAUCCAAUUCGGUGGCCGAGCCCAUUAAUCCAGCCAAUUUAAUGUUUUUUUCUCUUUAUUUUGCUUAGCUGCAUGGGCCUGGCCCAAUAAUCCCCAACAUUUUAGCCUUUUUAAUUUUGGGUUGUGGCAUUUUACUUUCUAUUGAUUUUUUUAGCCAUCUUAUUUUUGUACUAGUCCCACUAAUUAGAUUGGUCCCACAUGUCAUCCUGGUCUCAAAAUUGGUCCCACACAUCAGAAAUUUUAAAAUAUGUCAAACAACCAUUAUAACUUGAACCCCUUUGCUAGGUUACCAUUUCCGGGGUAUUCAAAUCACAUACAAAAUCAUUAUUUUGAAGAAUCCAAAGAGCAAAUGGAAUUCGUCCAAAACAACACUACAUUAGUCUAUUACAAUUGUUACAUUAUACUACAGCCCAAAUAAGCCUACUACUGCCUACAAUUACAAUACAUAAUAUGCUACUCUUUGUUGAUAUGCUUCACAGCUUCAGACUUGGAUUCACACUUCACCUAUGCAAAAAAUAAGAAUGAACAUAUAAGAAUAAGAAUGUGUUGAGAACAUCAAACAAUGGUCAAUGAGGGAUCCAAUAACUUAGAAGCAAGAAUUGAGAGCAAAUGAAAUGUACAAAAUAGUAUGACUAACAUUAAUUAGUAUGUGUUCAUGGAGCGGCUAAAAUUUUCUCAAACUAGCUAGGAUUUUUUUAUGUAUAGUAUACUCACAUGUGCAACUCUAAUUAAAUUGAUCAUGGAAAUGAAAAUAGAAACCAGGCGCUCAAGUUAUAUUCGGAAAAAAAUCUAACUAUUGUAAGACAAACAGAUUUGAAGUUGUAUAUUAACGUGUAACAUUUCAAGUUUGCUUAUAACUAAAUGAAGACAUGUCUUGCUAGAGAAUGUGGUUCAAAUGGGGUAAAAGCUACGCGGACAUGGAUUUCAAAAUAUAGUGUGUGUAAUUACAAUCGGAACAAUAAAUCAAAAAAUUGAACACAGAUAUGCAUGGGGUGAAAUAUAUGCACAAGAAGGACAAGAAAAGUACAGUUUAUGUAAAUCAGAAAUCACUUAAUAGAUAUUUAAUCUUGAUUCUAGAACAAUUGGAUUAAAGCAUGCUGAAAAACUGAAGCAAAGAGUAAUAUAUAUCAUCAGGAAUUGUUCUUUCAGACCAAGGAAAAAUUAUGCAGGGGGAUGUUUGUGUAAAUUAUAAGUUGUCAAGUAGAUUAAGAUAUAGGGUGCAUUCAAGUGCAGUGGAGAUUCAGAGUCAUAUCAACAAUGUGACGGUAGAAGCAAAAGAAACCCGUUUUCGUCAUACGUGAGAUUGCAUGUACUGUAAUGGAACUCCACGCAUCUCUCUAGAAAAAACUUCGACGCCCACAAAUGCAUCCAUUUCACAAGUCAAACGCAAUAAAAUUAUACUCAUAUGGAACUUGGUUAGGCAUUCACGACACAAUCAGGCAUAGUGCUUGUUGUUCAGUAUUCUUGAUGUGAGCUAGAGCAAAUGGGCAAAGAGUUUCAGAUUUUAGCUAACUAUAAUCAUCAUCAUUAUUCUGUGAGGCUAGCCUAGCUUGAGCUUCAGGUUUUGCAAUGCAGUAGGUAAAGAUAACCAAAAUGAGGGAUCCCAGUUUCCAGAGCAAUUAUUUACUAAAUUGACUGUACGACUGAAUGAUUCAGUUUUAGAGGGAUUAUUUUCAGAUCCCCAAGAAAGUAACCACAACAAGUUCUAGUGUAUCGAACUAAGGAUGAUCUAGUAAUUUACUGUACUAAUGUUAGUCUGUUAGUAUUAUCUGAUCCUUGAUAAAAACAAAAAUUCCUCUUCAAAUACAAGUGGAGAAACCUUACAUCCUUGACUGAAUAAUUUGAAGUCAUCAAUUGUAGAAAACAAGAAAAGGUAGUAAUCAGCCUUGGUGAUUGCUGAAGAUCUUUCUCCAUACUUCUAGCUUUGCUCUACAUCUGGAUAGUUUAGGGAUUCUGAAAAAGCAACAGUAACAAAAUGUGGUAAAAACUUACUUGAUCCAGACAACAACCUGAUUCAAAAUAUAACAUCAGGAUUAACUAAACUAAAGUAUAGUUACCAAACCAAUCCAAGCUUACCAAAACGGUCAUGCUACUAACUUACAAGAACCACAACUAAAUCUCAGUGAUAUCAAGCUUCCAUUACUCCCACUGUUCUGUAACAUGAAUCAAGACGAUACCGCAGGCAGCACAUGUCUUAAUGUAAGAGGGGGCAAACACUGCUUGUCAGCCUUGUGGAUGCCAUGUCAAUCUAGCCAACCGAGCUUGAAAAAUAGUCCUGACUAUAUUAACCCUUUAUUUCAAAUACUAAGCAGGUUCACUAAGAGACCAUGUCGCAUAGUAUCAGUAUUUUGCGCAAAGAUGGACAAAAGAAAUUCCUAGUAGUAUAACGAGAAAACUUUGUAUGUGGAGAUGAACUGAUUCACAAAAUUACGAGUAAUCUAGAUUCCAAAUCUGUCUUUUUUUUGAGAAAUCAAAUUAGUGUAUUCUACAUAGCUAGCUCAUGGUGCACGAUUUGAUUGUAGCAAGAAAAUACUCAAAGAUUUAUGCACAUCAUAAGAAGAUUGUGGCUGCAUUACAAACCCUGCAGCGUCUCCUCCAGCAUGCUUGCACACGAACAUCAACUUAAGGAGAUUCCGACUGCACGCCGAGCUAGGAUGACCAAUAGCUCACCUAUCCCCACAGCAAUAGAAAAGGCACACUUAGUAAUACCACUGUGCAAGACGAUUUUGUGUUGUCAGCUGGAGAAUGCUUGUUAGUAAAUAGUACAAUAUGGAGAUGCAAAAGUAUACUAAAUCUUGUAUUGACUUCUCUUUUCCCGAAACCUACUCCUUCCUAAUAAUGUCUCUACCAUCUUUCUUCCUCGCGAUCUUAUGGGAUUGUUCUGCUUGGCCAGGUUUACAAAGAAUUGGAUCUGGAUGCUGCUCAAAGGUUCCUGAGUGCCUACAAGAGUUGAUCAUGAACUGUUGCUAGAUGCCUAGAAGAUUUGGUUUUUAUUCAUCUGAAACUGCUGAAGGUGUGAUGAUGUUAAGAUUUCUGAUAUUUUCUUUGUGGUUCUCAUCUUCUGCGAAUCCAUGUAGACAGCCCUGGUCAAUCAGCUACAUUAUUCAGAAUCUGAUGUAC
rnacentral:lncRNA from 1 species